UCAAGUAUAAUAGUAUAUGAGAAUAUUAAAAUAAAGUAUCUAUACAAAAUAUUGUAAAAUAAUACGAUAAUAAAAUAGUGAAAUCAUCAUGAAAAUUUAAAAAGUGUGCAUGCACAUGCAUAUAAAAGAGAUUUAAGUGAAUUAAAAAAGGGUAAUGAACUCUACAAAUCAAUGGGAUCUAAUUAAAAUUAAAUUAAAAUGAAUGGGCUGAUUUAAAAAUGGAAUAAUCAAAAGAGGAUCAAAGUGCGAAGCACACAAAUUCGUAAGGACUCAGCCUGGAAAUAAUCCAGUUCCCAGAACGCAGUGUUUAGGCGCGGAUUAGAUUGCAACAAAGCACAAAUUACACGUCCAAAUCGAAGAAAAAAAAGGGCAAGGCGCAUAAGGCGCAAUCGAAGGCUCGCGCGAUCAUGGGGGACCUAGCGCGAAAAUUUCCCAUUCUGAGUGAAAAGGCGCGGAUCCGGGUUGACGCGCGGACCCCCAAUGUCCCAAAUGGCGCUGUUUUCUUUUUUACAAAGGUUUUAAUGCCCUAUUUCCUUUCUCUUUAGACGCAGCCAUGCCUUUAACCCAAAUUAAUAACCCCAACAAUCAGUUUGCUAGGGAUUCUUUUGCCAGCAACCGAACCACCAUGAUAUUUUGGUGAUCAACAGCAUGCAAACAGCACCCGAUCCGACCAUUGAAGGUGCUCGACCAUUCCUAAAGGAUUUGGUAAGUCAUUCGACCCCCUUUGCCCCCUUUUUUAGAAACCUUCAAAUUAUUUUUACUCUUUUGAAAACCAAGCAAAGAUUUGAAGUGAAAUUCUUGACCCUCGCCCGUAUCUACUCGUUUUCGAGAUGUUUUUGGGCUUUCAUUGGAAUCGAUUCACACAUUGAAAAGGAAAUCGAGUCAAAAAAGAAAAAAAGAAGAAAUAAAUCGGAAGAAAAAGAAAAAAGAAACAAGGAAACUUGAAAUCACCUUUUCUAUCUUUUGAUUUCUUUUCUCUCUUCUGUAUGCGUGUGUUCGUAAAAUAUGCGUAACCAAAUACAAUUGAUCCAUUCUUGGCUUUAUAGCCGAAACUAAAAAAGAAAAAAUCAAAAAUCAAAAUACAAUAUUCCAUUGCUUUUUGCUGCUGCUGUGUUUGUCUUGUUCGCAGGUACGGAGUAGAGGACAUACGCUGGCCCUUGGCGUGAGGCGUACGAAGGGUGGACGUGGCGCUGCUGAGGCGUAAGGAGGUAGCUGGCGUGAUGUGGUUAGGCCGUUCGUGAGGACUGCGGCGCAAGGAGCCCUUUGCCCUAGGGUUUGCCGAAAGUUGGCUUAGUUUUUGGGCCGUUUGGGCCUGUUCUAGUUAUUGGGCCAUUGUAUUUGGGCUAUGGGGUAUUGGGUUAGGUUAUGUAUUGGGCCAAAGUCUGUAAAUAGACAUUUAAUGGACUGUGGGUUUUUAUUAUAUUUUUUUAAUUUAAUUUUGGUUUUUGGUUGUUGGGCCCAGGCAGAUUUGGCCCAUUACAACGUUUUUAACCGUUAUUUAUCAUCUAAUAUGUUUUUUUGGUAAUAUUUAUAUUAGGUAUGUAGUUAUUUCUUUUUUGAAAUUUAUUUCGUAAAUUUAUAUUUCAAUUUGUAAUGAUUAUAUUUGCUGUGAUUUUAGUACUAGAAAUAUGAUUUAUAUAUUCAAAUUAAAAUUUAAAAAUAAUUUAUAUUAAUUGCUUAAAAAUAUUUAAAAUUUAUAUUUCGUAUAUCAAAAUAUUAAUAAUGCGUAAUAGUAACUUUUUUUAUUUAGUUUUCGUUAUAAUUUAAGUUGAUAUAUUUCAUACAUUAUAAUAUUAACGAUUUGAAGAUAAUUAAAAUGCAUAUUUUUUACUUUACAAUAUCAUGUCUAACUUUGACAUUUUGUUUCUUUAAAAGUACUUAUUGACAAUAAUGAUAAACAACUAAAUUUUAAAUCAAACUUUUCAAAACCAUUAAUCCAUAUUUUUUAAAAAUACUUUUUGAAAAUAAUACUAAACCUAUCCCUAAUAAAUAACUCAAGAUUAUUUUGAUGAAGAUGAUACUAACAUUCCAUUAGAGAUUUCAAUUUGUUUUUUUUUUCUCUUUUUGGUCAAAAUGAGAGUAUUAAUAGCUAACAAUAAUGACUAUUUUUCUUGUUGUGAAUGCUCUUUGAAGAGAUAAAUGACUGGCCACAAAAUGUGCUCCAUUCACAUGAGUGGGGAUUAAACCCCACCCACAUGAUUAAGAGACAAGGCGAGCAACCAUCGUACCACACCUUAUGGUUAGAUUUUUUGAGCCUUUUCAAAUUCCCAAAACACUUUGGGAGCGUUUGGUAUAAUGUAAAGUGAUAACUUUCGUGGGAAUUUAAUCAGUUGAAAAGUGAUUCCAAUGUUUGGUAUGUCUUUUUUUUUUUUUUAAACUUUCCUUAAAAUCUAACUUUCCCUUAGGUGUUAAUUUCCUAUAAACAUGGCAAUAUGAUUUCUAUGAUAAAAGAUGGGAAAGUUACUUUUUCAUAUAGAUUGAAAAGUUGAAAAAAUAGUAAGACAAAAUUAACCCUAUUUUAUAUUGGUUUAGGGUAUUAGUAUUAAUAAAGGUUAAAAAAAAAAAGCUAUUGUCCCCUUUUUCCUUCCCAUUUUCUCUAUUGCUUCAAUGGAUUCUUUGCAAAAAAGUUUAUUUUUAUUUUUAUAUGCAUAUUUAAUCAUUUAUAUACUAUAUUGUUUAUUGAAGAAAUGAGGGGUACUUGGUUUGCAAAUAGAAACUAUGGCUAAAAUAGUGCUGGGAACUAUGAUCAUAGUUUCAACUACUAAAUCAAAAGUGAAAAAAUGUACAGAUGAACACCAAGAUUAUUUACGCAGUUCGACCUUAGUCUACGUCUACGAGGCCUUGCCCAGAGAAAUGAUCUACUAUCUUUCUCAUAAUACAACCGAUGAUUUAAGUGUUAACAAUUAUCUAACUCACACCAAUUUAGUGACCUCACUAUUGUAUAAAGACUAGAUUACUCUCUCACUAAACUUCCCUCUUGAAAACUUAGUUUUGCAAUACAAGAGACACUCUUGAUUGCUUACAAAAAUAAUGCACACAUAAAAUGUUCCUAACUUGAAUAAAUUUUUUGCUCUAUCAUGUCUCUUAGUUACUCUUCAACCUAGACAAAACUUAAGUUUAUAUAUAUUAUUUAAGUUUUUCUUACAUAAGAGUCAUAGUCUAAUCACUUUUCUACAAAGUAAAGCUAAAAAUCAGCAUAUGAUAAUAAUUCCAUAAGAGCCUCGGUGUAAUACGAGGUCUUCAAAUAUAGAAAAUGGCUUUACUUGAUCUGCAAGUAAUCAAUCUUUAAGUCUUCAAUUUUAACUCAAUUAGUCAUCAUGUUUUGGACUCUAACUCGUCUAAAUAUUAAAAAAAAAAGAUAGACUAAUGCUUUUGUUUAAAAAUUUUGCCAAUUCUGAAAAUAGGUAAGUACGAUAAUGAAACAAUACCUGAAAUUGUAGUUACUGUUUCAGCCACAAAAUUUUUCAUUACCUUCAAAUGUGUCAACAAUUUGCAUAUUAUAUUUAUUUUCUAUUAUUUCUCUCUCUCUUGUUUUUUUUAUUGGUGCAAUUAUCUCCUAUAUAUUUGUAAAAUUAACUAUCUUUUCUCAUCCCAGAUAAGAUGAAAAAAAUUUAUGUGAAGGAGUUACUUAAUGGCUUAUGUAAAGGACUUUAUUUUCAAUUAUCGGAACUAUGCUAGGAUGAUAUACAUUCUAUUAUUUCUAUUUAAGACAUAUUAUUAUGUGACAUUUAGGAAAUUUUGAUCAUAAAUAAAAUUUUAUUUAUAAUAUUAUUUUUAAACAAAAAUCAACAACAAUUUUUUUUAUGAAAAUAAAGAAUCCAACUCUUGUCUACCCACAAAAAUGAAAUAAUUUGGAUGUGUUUUGAGGUGUAAUAUGCGAAUAUAUAUCAAAGUCCUUGUCUAUAAGGAAGUUGUUAUGUGAGAAUUUGUGGAGAUAAUAUUUAGUUAUUGUAUGUGAGAAUGAGAAUAGGAUAACCAACUCUUCUCUACCUACAAAUAUUUAGUUUUUGCCAUAAAGAAUCUUGUAUAUUCAUUCAUCCUAUCAAAACCCUUCUUACAAACAAAAUCAAAUCUGUAAAAACUGAGAUCUGUAGACAGGAGCAAAACCUGAAACAUUUUACUCUAGAUCUAGGAGAGUAAAAACAAACAUGAGAAGCCGUACGUCCUUGUCCAAAAUCAAUACACUAAGACAAGAUGGCCCAAAUUGGAACGCUACCCAAUCAGCACCAUGUCUAAUCUUGAAGAAACCUUAGUUGACAUUAGUAAUGAAACCUAAUAUAAAUAUUUGGAUAACAAUUUUUAUCCAAAUAUUUAUAUUCUUGAUAAUAAUAAUAUUUUAUUCUAAUAGAGGGUAAGUAAUGUAUUACACAAUUAAAGAUAGUUUGGUUGGAUCAAAACUCUCUCUAUAUAAUAAGUACUAUAUUUUUAUUGUACCAAAAUUAGCUAUUAUCUAAUUUUAAUUUGGAUCGGAAUAAUUUUAAUCUUUAAGUAGAUAUAUUUAUGGUCAAACCCAAGUUUUGAUUUAACUUAUAUAUAUAUAUAUAUAUAUAUAUGAUAAUAUGCUUGUCCACACCUAACUCGUUAGUUUAUUUUCAUCAUCUCCUAUUAUUUUUCUAAAAAAAACCAAUUUAUCUUUUGUAAUUCUUAAAUUUUUUUAUUUAAGGUCAUGUAGUACUUAGCAUAUAUUUUUAAUAGGGUUAAAUUUAUUUUUAGGGUUUAAACUUGAAAAUUAUUUUUAAAUCGGAGUUUGAUAUUUCCUUAAAAAUCUUAAUGUUCCGGCCUCAAUAUGGGAACAAUUGUCAACUUUAAAAACUAGCAUGGACAAAAAAAAGUUCAAGUCCUAAUAUGAGAACAAUUGCUUAGUCCAAGCCUCAAUAUAGGAACAAUUAUCAAGUUUAGAAAUUAACUUAAAAAAUAUUCAAACCCCAAACAAUAAUUUAACCUUUUUAAUAUUUACUUUAUUAUAAUACAUAUUUAAUUAUUUAUGAUAUGAAUUACAUAAAUAUGUUUUGCUCAAAGAUAAAUUUUGUCGUCCAAUCCAAAUCCAAAUUAGAUUGAGUUUGAAAUAGGAUAAUUUGGAUCUAAUCAAAUUUAGAUUACUAUAUAAUAAAAAUAUGGGUAAAUUAUAUAGAUAUUCAUUUAAUUAUAUAAAAAUUCAUUUUAGGCAAGUUACAUAAUUUGAUUAUUUUGACUUUUUAUUUAUUUUAUUUUAGGUACUUAAAAUGAAAAAUUUUGAUAAAUGAGUGAUUGUAUGGUUUACCCUAAAAAUAUAUUAUCUAAAUAUAAUUAUUAAAAUAUUUAAAGAUUGAUAAAAAAAAAAUCUAUUUUAAACAAGAAGUAAAAUCUUAUAAGUUUGUUUAAUUAAUUAAAUUUAGUUUUUUGAGUUUAGACUUGUAUGGACCGAGUUCAAAUCGUGCUAUGUGAAGGACAUUCAUUUAGCAAGAGUUCAAAUCGUAUUACCCAUCUCUUACCUAAUAUUAUAUAAAAAAAUUGUUAUUUUUUUGAAAGCAUUAAUUGAAAUUGUUGAAGUGAUGAAAAGGGGAUUUAUUUGAUUGUCUUAUUAAUUGAUUUAACUAGGUUUUAGAAAUAUAGGUGAAGUUCUUAGCUCAAGACAAUAUGUGGUUUGAAAGAGUAAUUCUUUGGCGGCCCGCAUUGAAACUCUUUAAUUAUAAACACAAAGAUGCGAUUAUUUUCAAUCCAACUUCUCUAAUUUGGAAAAGGUUAGCAAUUAUUUCCAAAUUUUAUAUCAUUUUAUUUUUAUCACGUUUUUAUUAAUUCAAAUAAUUUGUCUUUGAUUUAUUCUUUUUGAAGGUAAAUCGUCUAUGAUUUAUUAAUUUUAUAAGUGUUUGUCUAAAAAUUUUCGAAUAAGUGAUAGUUUUUUCGGUCGAGUUUAAAUUAUAUUAGAAUAAUUUUAAAAUGUUAUUUUUUAGGUAUUUAAUAAGAUGUGUUAUUUCAUUUUUUAAAAUUUUUUAAUUAAUAUUAUACAUUUUUUUUUACUUUACGUUAAUUUUCUUUAAUAAUAUUUUAACUCUAAUUAGUAUUUGAUUAAUUAAAUAAAAUUAAUAUAAAAAUUUAACAGAUAAUAAUAGUAAGGGAAUGUUUAUGGUUUUUUUCAAGAUUUAUGAUUUAUGAUAUAGUGAGAUAUAGGAUUUAGGAAUUUAAUAUUUAUGAUUUUAGAAAAAAAUGUUAGAUUAAGGUUUUAAGUUUUAGAAUUUUAUAAAAAAAUUAAUUUAUUAAUAUUAGAAUUAAAAAUAGUAAUAAAAAAUUUAAUAUAUUUUUUAUGCACUUUAAAAAAAAAAUGAUAUGGCAUAUAAUUAUAUGGGUGUGAUUUUAGGAUGAUACUAAUGUAUGUUGAACUCUUCUUUUGUAAGCUAAACGCAUAGACAAUGACGUUUUGUUUGCCUCUCAAGGACGGCAAUAAAUAAUCAAAAACCAUAUGGUUAAUAUUAUUCAAUUUCAUUUCUGCAGAUUUCAAUAUUACAAAUUUAGAUAAUUUCUAAAAUUUAAAUGUUAAGAUUGAUUUAAUAUUUAAUUUAAUAUAUUAAUUUUGAUUAUGGUUCAAUUGUAUACGUUUAAUUUAAUAAAUAUAUCAAUUUAUUUUUAUAUUAGAUAACUAUAAUUAUUUAUGUAAAAUCCAUAAAAUUAUAACUUAAUAUAUGGUAAACUUGCAAUUUAGCCCUCUAAAAAUGAUAAAAGUGUGAUUUAGUCCUAGCAACUUUAAAGAUAUAAGCUAAUACAAUGGUGAAAUUGCAUCUUAGCUUUCAUAAAAAUAUAUAACUUAAUUUUUUCCCUCUAGAAAUUUUUUUUUAUCUUUGUCACCCAUGUAAAAUGAUCUUAUCAAUAAUAAUGUUAAUGGUUUGUGAAAAUUAAAUCAAAUCAAUAUCUUAUGUGUAAAAUUACACAAAAUUAAAUUCGAUCACAAGAUUGUACAUUAGACCAAAGUUAAUGUGUAGUUUUGAACUUUAUCCUGAUUUACAAUCUGUAGAAAGGCAUAAUGAGCAAUUUAGUUCUUAAUGUUUACAUCUUUUUCCAAUUUGGUCAUUAUUCAUUUUUUAGCUAAAUUUGACCCAUAAACUUUUAAUUGUUGUUUUUUUUUAAUGCAAAUACUGAUUAAAACGUUAAAUUUUUAAACAUGGUAGCUCACAUAGCAAUCCAUGUGUAAUUCAAGCUUCUUCUUUUUUUUUUUGAAUUUUUAAUAAUUUUUUAUGUGAUAUAUAAAGCAAAUAGUAUCAUAUCAAAAUAAAGUAAAUAUGGACUACCACGCAUGUUAUGUCAAGAUUAUUAAAAAAAAUGUUUUAAUUAACAUUUUCAUCAAAAACAAUGAUUUUACUCUUUUUGAAAUAUUACCAUUUUAGCUGAAAAAAAUAAUGAUCAAAUUGACAAAAAAUAUAAAAUAUUGAGGGCUAAAUUUAACAUUAUAUAUUUUUUUUUAUAGAAAUAUAUAUGGGAUGUUGAAUUCAUUAUAAUUAUGUCUCGGAUAGUAUUUGAAUCUAUUAUUUUAAAUAAUGUGUUUGGAUAUAAUAUCUUAACUUCAUCUCCAUACGUAAUUCUUAUUUUAUUUUAUAUUUUCAUCAUUAAUAAAUAUUGAUUUAAUCGAUUUGGCUAUUUAAUAUUCUUACAAUAAAUCAAUCAUAGAUAAAUUCGGUUUAUCAUGUAAUUUUUAAACAUUUCAAAAAUUCCAAACAGCCCCGGCCGGCCGGCCGGCCGGCCAUUUAUAUGUGUCUAGAUAGGUAGAAGGUCGCUAUACGCUGGAGCCGGUGGACAAGACAUUUGAAGAGUUGACUAGUCAAGGUUUCACAGCUGAUAUUCCAAAGACAAUAAUCUAAUGAAACUUAAAACCUCAUUAAUCUAUUUUCAUUUACUUAUACAUAUUCAAGGCCUGAGAUACAAUUUUCAUUUUCACACGAUCAGAACUUCAGAUGUAUAUUAUAUUUAUUGCAGUCUAUGCUGAAACUCGUCAGGAGAUGGUUUCAUUGAAAUCUUGCAACUCAUUUCAAAUCAACAACUCCAAAUAAACGUUUUGACUGAAGAAUUAGUCUUUCCAAUGUGUUACUAUAUGUCAGGAAUAAAAGCCACAGAAAUAUUCUACGCACGCAUUUGCCUCCAAAAACACGCAGAGAAAUGAAGGCCUCCAUGGGAGAUGAAAGACGAGCUUCGCAUCUUGCACUUGUUUGCCUGUUACUAGCAGCAGUUGCAGCAGCAGAAUCAACGCCAAUAGCCAAGCUCGGUUGCCAAGACAGAUGUGGGAACGUCAGUAUCCCAUAUCCAUUUGGUACAACGACGGAUUGCUAUCUCAAUGAAGAUUUUUACAUAGCUUGUAAUUCGACUCACUAUGAUCCUCCACGAGCAUUCUUAACAGGAAGCAAUAUAGAGGUGACAAACAUAACUGUCGGAGGCAAAUUGCGGAUUAUGCAAUUUAUAGCCCGCGAUUGCUACAAUAAAUCGGGCUUCCCAGUUUCCAGCAAUACUCCUUCCAUCACGCUGUCCAAAUUCAGGGUCUCGGAUACUGAUAACAAGUUCGUUGCCAUUGGCUGCGAUACUGAAGCAACCAUUCAAGGUGUUCAAGACGCCAAGGGAUACACGAGUGGGUGCAUAAGCAAGUGUGACAGUAUUGACUAUGUGGACAAUUUCACAUGUUCUGGUAUAGGCUGUUGCCAGACAUCCAUUGCUAAAGAUGUAGGGUAUUUUGACAUUUCUGUAAGAAGCUACAAUAAUCACCAAGGUAUCUGGGAUUUCAAUCCCUGCAGCUAUGGCUUUGUUGUUGAAGAAAAUAGCUUCAAUUUUUCUUCGAAUUAUCUUCGUGAUCUGCAAGAUGUAACCAUGAUGCCCAUGGUGCUUGAUUGGUUUAUCGGGAACGAGACGUGUGAAACGAUAAAGACCAAGAGUUCGGGUGAUGUAUGUCAGGGAGAUAGCACUUGUUAUAACGUGGAUAAUGGAUCUGGAUAUCGUUGCAAGUGCUUGGAUGGCUAUCAAGGAGAUCCAUACCUACCUAAUGGUUGCCAAGGUAUUUUACUUCUUUAUUUCCGCAAAUUCAAUUUCCUUCAGAUUUUCAACAGUCUUAGUUAUUUAGAGGUUAUACUAGUAGCUCCUUUUUGGUGAAAUUGUGGUGGGAAUGGGAUCUAUUCUUUUACAGACAUAGAUGAAUGUAAAGACCCAAAUCUCAAUAAAUGUGAAAAGAUAUGUGAAAAUACAAAAGGAAAUUACACGUGCUUGUGCCCCAAGGGUUAUCAUGGAGAUGGAAGAGCAGAUGGUACAGGAUGUGUUGCCAAUCAAUCUGGAGGAUCACUUAUAAUUGAGCUUACUGUUGGUAAGGAGUUCUAUUCAAUUUCAGUCUUACAAGUUCUCUGCUAUACUAUUUAAGCGUCCUAUAAUGCUCAUCUUCUGAGUCUCAAAAUGGAUUCUAAUGAUUGUUUUAUGACAACCAUGGAAUAAUAGGGCUUGGCGUAGGCAUUACAGUAUUGAUAGCAGGUAGCACUUGGUCGUACUGGGCAUUCAAGAAGUGGAAGCUCAUCAAACUUAAACACAAGUUCUUUCGACAAAAUGGAGGCUUGAUGUUGCAGCAAGAACUGUCCAGGCGGGACUCUUCCACUGAAACGGCUAAAAUUUUCUCAGCUGAGGAGCUGGAGACGGCCACCAACAACUACGAUGAAAGUAGGAUUAUUGGUCGAGGUGGUUAUGGCACAGUCUACAAAGGAACUCUAUCAGAUGGGAGAACCGUAGCAAUUAAGAAGUCCCAAGUUGUUGAUGAAAGCCAAAUCGAUCAAUUCAUCAAUGAAGUUGUUGUGCUUUCCCAAAUCAAUCACAGGAAUGUGGUGAAGCUUUUAGGUUGUUGCUUAGAGACGGAAGUUCCAUUACUGGUUUAUGAAUUUAUCACCAAUGGUACUCUCUUUGAGCAUAUCCACAACAAAAGCAAGGCUUCUUCCUUGACAUUUGAAACCCGGUUACGUAUAGCAGCAGAAACUGCAGGUGUGCUCUCAUAUCUGCAUUCCUCAGCUUCCAUACCAAUCAUUCAUAGGGAUGUCAAGUCUACCAACAUACUCUUGGAUGAUAGUUACACUGCCAAAGUAUCCGAUUUUGGAGCUUCGAGGUUGGUUCCACUAGACCAAGCCGGGAUAUCAACGGUGGUUCAAGGGACCCUCGGAUACCUGGACCCUGAAUACUUGCAGACAAGUCAGCUGACAGAGAAAAGUGAUGUUUAUAGCUUUGGGGUAGUCCUUCUAGAGCUACUGACCGGACAAAAAGCACUUUGUUUUGAAAGGUUAGAAGAGGACAGAAAUCUCGCAAUGUAUUUCAUUUCAGCUUUGAAAGAAGAUCGCUUGGUGCAAAUUCUUGAGAAGUGCGUAGUGGAUGAAGCGAAGAUAGAGAUGGUUGAGGAAAUUGGUAGCCUUGCAAGGAGGUGCUUAAGAGUGAAAGGAGAAGAAAGGCCCACAAUGAAGGAAGUCGCAAUGGAGUUGGAGGGGUUGAGAAUGAUGCUGGAGCAUCAUCCAUUGGUAAACAACGAUGAGUCGAGGUUAGAAGAGACUGAGUAUUUGCUCGGUGAACCAUCGUUGAAAAUUGGUUCUAAUGGCGGUAUGAAUAAUGUUACAUAUGAUAGCAUCACAGAUCAUAUAAUUUUACAAGUUGGUCAUGGAAGAUAAUAGUUUCAAUCUUUCACCUCAGGAUUUAUUUUUCUAAACUUACAAAUCUUUUUGUUUGUAUUAAAAAAAAAAUACUUUGUAAAUUUUCUAAUUUUUUAUAUCUUAAUUUUUUUUUCCAAAGUCAUCCAACGUUAUGUCAUUGCUAUCAAAUUAUAUUACCAUUUUAAAUAUUUUUAUAGAAAUAUAAUUAAUUAAAAUAGUCGCCGUUGUAUUACAUCAAAAUUAAAUUUAAAUUCAAAAUAUAAAUAAAUGUAAUAAACUUUAAAACAUAGUAUCAAUAAAAAAUAAAUAUGCAAUCAUUCUGUAUUUUAAUUUUUCUAUAUUUACAUACACUCGAAUUGUUCAAAAUAUGAAUAUUAUAAUAUUUUACUAUAAAAUUAUUAAUUAAUUUGAUGUAGUAAUUUUAAAAAUAUAUAAUUGUUAAUUUAAUUGUAAGUUAAUUUUUUAAAUUAUAAAUUUUAAUAUAAAUAUAUAAUUUCAAUUGGAUAUUAUAAAGAUUAUGAUAUUUGUAUAAAUACAUAUAUAUAUUUUUAAUUUGUUAACAAUUAAUAAAAAAAUUGAAAAUUGUAAUAAAAAAAUUUACAAAUAUAUUUUAUUAUCAAUUUUUAAUAUUUUUAUGAUUUAUGAUUUAUUAUUUUAUGCAUAAUAUUUUUAUCUUGUAUUAUAAAUGAUUUAUCACUACUUUUAUAUUUAUGCUAUUAAUUGAUUAUAAAAUAUUAUUAUUUAUAUAAGUUGAAAUUUAAUUAUAAGUUGAUAAAAUUUUAAUUUAAAAACAUGUAAAUUAAUGAAUUAAUCAAUAAUUUCACUUUUUUUAGUAGUUCAUUAAUAAAUUAAAAAGUAACUCUAAACAUAACACUACCAGUCAUAUCGGCUUUAACAAAGCUGGAGCAUAAAGCUCGACAUAGACAACAUAGUCUUUAGAAGAGUCUCUUACAAAGCAAACUAGGAGUGCUGCCCUUUCUAGCCAGUACAUCAAGGCAACUAUUUCUCUCCCUGAAAUUAUAAAGCAAUCAACUAUUCUGGAAAGCCUCCAAUAAAGUCUUGCAAACAUUCACCAAGGUGUUGCAAAGCAAAUCUGAACAAGAUUGAUUCUUAAUAAUAACUGUAGUAGCAUCAACUUCCACAAUGAUAUCAACAAUGUUCAAAUUUAGCAACAGUUUUUUGAAGAAUAGUUGAGAAAUCUAUGACAACCAGACACCCAUGUUACUUGGAAAUCUCGAAUUAGAGCUCCAGCUCCUACUGAACCAGGAUUUCCUAUCGAAACACCGUCACAGUUAAGUUUGAACCACCCAAUCUCUUGUGAAGUCCAUUUCACUUUGAUGAAUCUUGGCAUAUUUGUAUACUUGAUCUUAUUGGAGAUGGAAAAGAUCUCCGUUGCAUUAGCAAGUGCAGUUGGGAUAAUCAAAUCAGGAUUGUACUGCUUUCCAAAGACUUUAGCAUUCCCACCAACUAAAUAUAUCUCAAUAUAGAUGAAAACCAAGUACUAAGGUAUUUUUUUCUUUGCCAGGUAUAAAAACAUUUUGCUAAAGAGUUCACUUCAAUCCAGUCCUGAAAAGGAAGGUUGAAGGUAGAAAGAAGUUGAGGUGAAAUUCCAAUCUUGACCAGAUUUCAAAAACAACUUGAGAGUCUCAAAGGAUAUGGUUAAGUGUGUCUGUACCCGUUGCGUAAAAGGGCCAACAAUCUUGCAAGUUUAAGCCAUGUUUAUUAAGGAAAAAAACUAUGGGAAGGAUGAGGUGAGCGAUCUCCCAUAAGAAAAAGGUCAUUUGGGGGAUAAGAUUGAUUUUCCAUAUUGAUAACUUGUUUUAGUAUAGUUUUUUUUAAGGAGGUUAUUUUAGCAUUUACUUUAGUUUUUAGUGCAUUUUAUAGUUUUUUUAUAUUAAUUAUGUUUUAUUUAAUUUUUAUUAUUUUUAGAUUUAGUUGAAUUUAUUUAUUAUUUUUCUAUUUACAUUAUAAGUUUUGAAUGAAGAACAAAAUGUUUGGAGUAUAGAAUAAGAAAAUUGUGAAAAGAAGUCUAUCGCUCCAUCGAAUAUCGAUGUGGUGGAGCACAAUUUUCACUCAAAAUUUUGAAACAUCAUGCAAUUUGCUCCACUGCAUUUCUGUGUCUGGAUGAGCAAAACGAUUAAAACCCUACAAAUAAGGAGUGGCGUGAUUUAAGAGAAAAGAGGGAGAAAAGAAAUCAACUUGAAGGCUAAGAGGAGAAGAAAAAGAGAUCCAGAGCACUAGAUACUAAUUCAAUAAUUGUUUUUCUCUCUAGAUUAUUUCUUUUUACUUUAUCUUAAAACAAGUUUGUUUUGAAUUUUUUUUGUAAUGCUUUCUCAAAUCAGCAUGAAUUAAAUUCUAUUUUCUUGAAACAAUAACUAAUCUAAUUUGUAGUUAAUUAAUUUAUUCUCUCUUCAAUUAUUUCGAUCCUUGUUAAUUAUUUAUUCAACCCAUGCAUUUUUAAUCUACUUGUCUGGCCACAAAUUAAGUCGUAUUAAUUUGAUAAUCUUAAUUUGUCUUGGAAGAGAAAAUUAAUGUUUAGAUCUAGAUUGAAUAGAUAAGGAUUAAAUGUAGUAGGUCGACAAACUAGUUAAUUUGAGGCUAAAAUAAGAAAAUACCUGAUGCCCUAGUCAACCCAAUAUGUUUGAUCAUAGUGAUUUCACCCAACUUGCUUAGCAUAGGAAUAUAGCUAGUAGAGAAGGGGAAUUAGCUUAGCUAGAUACUGAAAGAGUCUAAUUAAUGUCAUUGAAUCAUGUGUUAGUAGUUAAAUAGAUUCAACAAUUGACUGAGAAAUAAUUUAUUAAUGGAAUUAGGUGAAUUUAGAGUUCUAAAAUCUUAAAAUUGAUUGAAAAACUUAGUAAUUUUCAUUGUUUUAGUUUAAUAAAAAUCUCUUUAAUUUGUUUAGUUUAAUUUUAGUUCUAAUUAUAAUUUAUUUUUCUUGAUCCAGAUUUAAUAAAAUUGAAUACUUGGUACUUAGCAGUUUAAAAUUUAAUCUUCGUGGGACGGUAUUUUCUUAUUACUUAAUUAUUUAAUUCGACAUGUGCAUUUCUGUAACAGAUUUUCAGACAUUACAUAUCCAGCUCUAGUCAUUACUAGAAUUUUAUGUUGUUGUUUCCUUUAUACCAAGGGCCAAUAGCUAUGCAGAUUCCAAAGAGCUAGAAGAUCCCGGUAGAAGUCAAAUUCCAUCCAAGAAUAUCCUUGCCUCUGCGAAAAGUGGAAGUUGAGAUAGCAUUUAGAACACUUGGAGAGAUGAGUUUUUCUUCAUUGAAUUUAAAGGGUUAGCAAUGAAUGAUCGAAGGGAAUGGAGCCCGACCAAUUUUGGUCCCAAAGAUUAACAGAGGUACCAUCCUUGACGAUCCAUUUGAAGCCAUCCCCAAAGUAACCUUGAAUGCUUUUGAGAGCAUUCCAAGUGACAGAGGGCUGUGAGGAAUGUUGAAGUUCUUGAAGAUACUUUAAUUUUAAGAUUUUAGCCCAAAAAGAUUUAGAGUUGUGUAAUAAUCUCUAGCAUAAUUUGAUAAGUUGGGCUGUGUUCUGAGCUCUCAUAUGUGAAAUCUUUAGUUUUUCUAAUCUUUUAGGUUUUGUAAAAAUUAACCGAUUGAUUCUAUAUAAUUUAAAUAAACUUGUGGUUGAUUUGAUUGAUUGAAGAAUAGAUACUAUUAGGAAGCUUUGACUAGUAUGAAAUAUUUUUAAAUUUUAAAAAAUAAAAAUAGAAAAAAAUAGAAAGUAUUUUAAUAAAUCAAAGCCUAAGUGUUGAAAUUUAAAUGAUAAAUUUUUAAUGUUAAAUUAGGGAUAAGUCACCAAUUAGUGUUGAGUGUGAACUUUUAAGUAGAGCAUGCAUAUUUGAACAUUGGAGACAAUAUUGUAAGGAUGGCAGCCACAAGUUUCAAAAAUAAAUUAUAAAAUGAAUAUGGAAUAUACAAACAAAAAAAAAUUGAUGUCAAUUUUAGCUUGUAAGUGGAUUAGAUGUAUAUGCAAAAAGAGAAAAGAAAACUAAUUGUAAGGUGUAGUGUAAUAAUUGUUGCGGAAGCGACGAUAAUAUUAAUAACAAUAUUAUCAGAAAUAUUUAGAUAAUUAUUAUGCCAACAAUUAUACUAAGAAAAUUCCCAGUUAAAUUGGAGGGGUCACAAAUGGUCCCGCUUAAAACCCAACAACUAGACAGAACUCACUUAGAUAUUUAUAGCAAUAAUAACUAAAUAAAUAUAACCAACAUAAAGCUAUUAAAUAUAAGCAAACAAAUAAGAAAUAAAAUACCAGAGAUUUAACGAGGUUCGGCCAAUUUAGCUUACGUCCUCGGACACUACCAAAUUAAUAUUUCUUCUAGAAAUAUUACAAAGGAGAAGAUUUUGGGAUGAUACAACCAAAGGGGGAGGGGUUCUAUAUAUAACAAACCAAACCCUCUCCCUUUCUAUCUUUUCCUAAUGUGGGAUAUUGCCAAUAUUCAACAAUAAUUACUCACCUCAUCCCAUAAUCAUGUGAUCAGAACUUUGAUCCUCACUCAUAAGAGUUUAACUUUUGGAAUAUCCUCUAAUCUUAAAUAAGUGAACGUGAGAAAGGGGAGGAAGAUAUGAAUAUGAAACAAAAGGUCAACAGACCUAGCUCUAUGAUUACCAUGCAUAUUUAUAGACUUCUUUCUCUCUGCCUUGGGUUGAUUGAGCAGGUGCUCAAAUCUUCAUUUUCAAAUUAAACGAGUUAGAAAAACCAAGUUACAUAAAUUGAAAUUUAGGUACUAAAUUUUAAAAGUUUGACAGGUAUAAGAAUUGGAGUAUAAUUAUACGUUAUAUUUAUUGAAGACUAUGCUGAAACUUCUGGGGAGGUGGUGCAAUCAACAACUCUAAUAAACUGUUUGGGUGUUGAAUAUGGAAUUAGUCUAUCCAAUUGUGUUACUUUAUGAAUGCCAGAGAACUUUUCCACGCCCUUGCCUUCAAGAGCACGCAGAGAAAUGAAGGCAGCCACGAUUAGUUUUACACUAAAUUGUACCCACAUAAGGUCAGAGUUGUGCACUCUCUCAUGUUCUAUUGAUCCCUUGUGGGUAAACUUGAUUUGGGGAAGAUUACUUUUCAAGAACGUAAUUGAAAGAAAUUAUAGGAUAAACGAGUUUUUUUAGUUUAUUAGCUUUUAACUCCACUUUACGAAUAAUCAACAAAAGAGAAAGGAAAGGGUCUACGCUGCAAUAAAGAUGAUUAAUAAGGAAAGAGUCUAUGCUGACCUAACUCAUAAACGUGAUUGGUGUUUCCCAUUUAAACCAACUUUGAAUCUUCAAAUAAUUUUUGCUAUAAAUAUGAAACCAAUAUUUUUAUUCAAGCAAUAGCCAAGGAAAAAACCAGAGGUCAUGGGUUUGGAUCGUACGUGUAAGGAGUUUGCUCUGCUUUCACUUAAGUUAACAAUUAUAGCAACCUGGGUAGCAGCGCAACCAAAACCGGAGUGCCAAAGCAACUGCGGGGAUAUCAGCAUCCCUUAUCCUUUUGGAACAGGCAAUGGGUGCAACAUCAGCAGCAACUUUUUCAUUCGUUGCGACACCACCUCCAACCCCCCAAAAACAUUCUUAAGUUCCACCGAUAUUGAAGUUCUCCACAUCUCUCUAGAUGGUUAUUUGCGCAUCCAACAAUUGGUAGGUUUUGACUGUUAUAAUUCAUUAGGACGCAGUUCAUAUGGCGAGUCAUUUUCACUUUUAAACUUCCCCAUAUCUAAUACCAGAAACAAGUUCACAGCCAUUGGUUGUGAUACCUAUGCUCUCAUUGAGGGUACCUUGGGACAUACGUAUUCAACCGGGUGUGUAACAUUCUGCAGUGACGUGGAGGAUGUGAUUAAUGGGUCUUGCUCUGGUAUUGGCUGUUGCCAGGCAGCUAUCCCUAAAGGAGUGAGGAAUUAUGUCUUAAAUUUUGAUACCCGUCGGAAUCAUUCCAAUGUAUUGGACUUCAAUCCUUGUAGUUAUGGAUUUGUUGUGGAAGAUGGAGCCUAUAAUUUCUCUGUUUCAGAUCUUUCCAAUGUUAAUUUCAACACAACGAAACUCCCAAUCAUACUUGAUUGGACAAUUGGGAACCAAAAUUGCACUGAAGCUAAAUUAGAUCCAAAAAACUAAGCUUGCAAGGAAAAUAGUGUUUGUAUAGAUCCAGAAAAUUAUAGUUGCAAGGAAAAUACUAGUUGUAUAAACCCUGGAUAUUUGUGCAAGUGUCUUGAUGGCUUUCAGGGUAACCCUUACCUCUCCUAUGGCUGCCAAGGUAAAGAUAUCAACUUCUUUUUCAUUCCAGAUUCAUUUUGAUGAAUACUUUUAAUUUUGUUCCCAAUAUAUGUUUUUUUUUUCUGCUUUAAAAUGUUUGAAAAUUUGUAGAUAUUGAUGAAUGCGGGACACUGAAGCCUUGCAAUGAAACUGCAACAUGUUAUGAUGUAGCUGGAAGUUAUUAUUGUUCGUGUCCUGAGGGAUUUGAGGGUGAUGGCCAGAAAAAUGGAACAGGGUGCAGUCCUAAAGUCAAAUCACACCAGAGUUUUCCCACUCUUCUUGUUGCAUUAGGUUGGUACAUAUAAACCAAAAAUUGAUUUCCUUUUAUUUGGUAAAUAUUUUGUGCAAACGUAUUAAUACUGAGAUGAAAUUAAUCCAAAUUUAAACCGAUUUAAUUGGUCUAAAUAGUUUUCAUAUUCUGAUUCUGAUUGAUACAUCAUUGUUAAUGUUGGAUGUAAUUAAUCCUUUAAUUUGUUUUGGAUUAAAAUCCAUCCAAGUUUGUUAUUUCUACAACGUCAUUAUUAAUUUCUCAUUGAAAAGAACUAUAUGAAAAUUAAUAUUGUGAUGUAUGUUUACAAAACAUAUCAGAUCGAGGUUUACAAAGUUUAGGCACACAUUAAUGAGAUAUAGAUAAACAACAUAACAAAAGAUAUUAAAGCUUAUCAGUUUUAAUCCAUACAAAGUUCAAUUGAAACUAUAAAAAUGGAGCUUAUUUGAUUUUUUUUUUAAAUUACAAUUUCUAGUCUCAUAUUGUUACAGGUAUAGGCAUUUUAUUUUCGCUGUUAUGCUCCUCAUGGGUGUCUUUGGGGCUGAGGCAGAGAAAGCUCAACAAACUGAAACAAGAUUACUUUCAGCAAAAUGGUGGGAUUUUGUUCCGGGAACACCUUUCACGAUAUAAAGAAUACGGCGAGACAGCUAAACUCUUUACAAUCGAAGAACUCAAAAAAAGCGACAAACAAUUACCAUGAAAGUAAAAUCCUUGGACGAGGAGGUCAAGGUACUGUUUACAAAGGAUUGUUGCCUGAUGGCUGCAGUGUUGCCAUUAAAAAGUCCAUCAUUGGAGAUCAAAUCCAAGUUCAACAAUUCGUUAAUGAAGUUAUUGUGUUAUCCCAAAUCAACCACAGAAAUGUGGUGAAAUUGUUGGGAUGUUGUUUGGAGACACAAGUCCCUUUGCUAGUCUAUGAAUAUGUAAGCAAUGGUAGCGUCUUCGAUCACUUACACAAUGCCGAUCAUGAGUCUUUCAUAUCAUGGGAAGCUCGUUUGAAAAUAGCCACAGAAGCAGCAGAAGCCCUUUCCUAUUUGCACUCUGCUGCAUCUCCGCCUAUUAUUCAUCGUGAUGUCAAGUUGGCCAACAUACUUUUAGAUGAGAAUUACAAUGCUAAAGUAUCUGAUUUUGGUGCUUCCAGAUUGGUCCCUUCAAAUAAAGAACAAAUAACAACACUCGUGCGGGGAACUCUGGGCUAUUUGGACCCAGAAUAUUUUCAAACAAGUCAAUUGACUGAAAAGAGUGAUGUUUAUAGUUUUGGAGUUGUUCUCAUAGAAUUACUAACAGGUCUGAAAGCAAUUUCUUUCGAAAGACCUGAACAUGAGAGGAAUUUGACUCUGUACUUUAUUGCUGUUAUGAAAGAGGAACGCUUGCUAGGAGAUGUGUGAGAGUGAAGGGAGAGGAAAGGCAAACUAUGAAGAAGUUGCGUCUGAAUUAGAAGUAUGGAGAAAGCUCAAGGAGGAAGAGGCUGAAUACUUGCUUGAUGACUUUUAUGACUCGUAUAACACUAACACUAUUCUAUAUGAUAGAUAGAUACUACGGUGAAUAUAGCUAAGAGGUUACUCUACUAUAAGUUCUUGAUUAAAUGAAUUAAUUUAGUACUAUAUUAUAAAAAAAAAAAUCAAAUAAGCUCAAAUUGGAAUAAAGUCAACAUUUAUCAUUUAAAAAUAUCAUUUACUAUUUAAUAAAGUUAAUAUUUUUAAAGUUUUUAUAGUUACGUAAAUGAAGUCUAUUGUUUGAAAUUGAGCUACAAUUGAAAAAAUAAUUUUCAAAACAUUUUUUAUACCUUAACACCAUGUGGUAAAUUAUUUUUUUGUUUGAUUGAACGUAAUACUCAUUUAAUGAGACAAUUAUUUUUCUAUUACUUGUCUUCCCGUAAUAGCUAUUCUUUGGUCUCACAAAAGAAUAACUAUUCCAUGCAAUAUUAAAUAACAAAAAAAUUUAAUUUCCAGAUUAAUCUUUUAAAACUUAGACAUAUACAAAUAAAAUAUUUAAAAUAUUUUAAUAUAAUUUAAUAUAAAAUAUUUUAAUAUAAAAAUAAUUAUAUUAAAAAUACUAUUAAAUUAUAUAUUAUUAUUAAAUUAUAUUAAAAUAUGAUUAAAUUAUUUAUUUUUUAUUAACUUAUUUUUAAUAAUAAUCCUAUUAAAAUUUAAUAACAAUAAUAAUAACAGUAAUCAUCUACCUAACAAAAUUUUGCUAAGGGUACUCUAGUCAUUUCAAUUUUUUUUACUUAUACUAUUACAAAAUCGUUCCAUUCAACCAAACACAAGAAUAUUAUUACAGUUCUAUUUCAUUUCAUUCAACCAAAUAGUUGAAUUACUGAUUACAGCUCUAUUCCAUUACAACUAUAUUUCAUUACAACGAACCAAAUGUAGUGUAGAUGUUAACUCUAUUACAACUUGAAUUUACAUUUAAAUGACACAACUAUUCAAAAAUUAUUCUAAAAAAAAAAUUUGUGUAAUUUCAAUGAAGUACAUAGGUAUUUUUCAGUACUCUAUAUAUAGACAUUAAAGUCAAAAUUGAGUUCUGAGUUAAUUUUUCUUUUUUGUGUGAAUAUGUCUAUGUAUUCAUUUUAAUUUGUUAAAAUAAUUUGAGUGCAAACAUAUUAUUUUGCUAUGAGAAAAAAGUAUUGUGUACUGAAAUUAACAUUUAUUAAUUGUUUUUUACAAUAGAAGAGAAAUAAUCUAUUCUUUAAAACUUUGAGGCUAAAUUUUAAAUAUACAAAAAGUAUAAGAACUUAUAGCAUAUUUUAACCUUUUUAAAUUUAUACAAAAUCCUUUAAGGGUUUUUUUUUGGUUAAUUUACAAAUAAUUUUGGUUUUUUUAAAAUGAAACAAAUGACUAAAUGCAUAUAAUUAUAAUAAAAUGCAAAUACUUAUUUAAAUUUAUUUUUAAUUUUAUGGAUUAAUUAUAAAAUUUAUGUGAUGGCCCACACUUCAUGAGCAUCAGAAAAAUGCAACAUCGGGGUACCGUCUUAGUAAAUCGAGUUCAAAAAUAAUUAUUAGAAAUAUUUAUGAGUCUAGUGAUGUGUUUAAUUAGGUUUAAAUUAGGUGAAUUUAGCUUAAUUUAGAGUAAUUAGUGAAAAGAACUAAAUUGAAUAAGGUGUAAAGUUUAAUUAUAAAGUAAAAGAAAAUAAGAGGGACUAAAUAGGUAAAUAAGCCAAUGGUUUAAGAUGAGGCGGCAAUGCAUGGAAAAAUCUUAGAUUUUUUUUUAUUUAUAUUAUAAAAAUAUUAUUUAAUUAAAAUAUUAUAAAUUAUAUUAAUUAAAGUUAAGAUAUUAUAUUAUAGGAAAUAAAUAAAAUAAAGACAAUUGUAUGAUAAAUAAAUUAAAAAUUUGCCAAAUGGAUGGUGAUGAUAUUGUACAUAUGUACAAAAAUAUAUGUGUACAAUUGUGGUAUUUAUACUUGUUAUUAAAUAGAUAUUUAUUAGAGUGUAUUAUUAUUAUUAAUUUAUUAAUUUAUAAUUUAUAUUAAUUAUAUUAUGAGAUUUUUAUAGGAUAAAUAAAGUAAAUCAUGAUAAAUGUACGGUGAUGAUGAAAUAUUAUAUGAUGAAAUAAAAUGAAGACAAGUGGAUGGAGAUGAUUUAUUACAAGUGUAUAAAUAAAAUAUAUACAUUUGUAAUAUUUAUAUUUAAAUUAGAAAAUAGAUAUUUAUUAAUUAUUAUUAUUAAGUUAAAAAUAUUUAUUAAUUAAAUAAUUAAAUUAUAAGAUUUUUAUUUGAUAAACAAAUUAAAUAAUGACAAUUGUAAUAAAAUUAUUAGUAUAAAUAUAAAAUAAAUAUAUAAUUACUUAUAAUUUAAACUAAAAGAUAUUUGUUAUUAAAUAAUUAUUACAUAUUAUAUUAUUAUAACAUAAAAGUAAAUAAACUAAAAAGAAAUAAAAUCAAAACCUAAACAAAGAAGAACGAAACAGAGGCAUUUGAAACAGAGCAGGAAAUAGAAAGAAAAAAAAAGAAAAAGGAAAAACUAAGGGUUUAAGGUUUAAAACUUUGAUAGCUAAUAAAAAAUUCAAAGUAUCGAGAUAAAAAGAGAAGGAGAAGGUCGUCGAGGAGUAACUGCGAAGUUCGAGUUUGUAUUACUGUAAUUCAAAUUAUUUAUUUAUUCAUUAAAUGUUAAAUUAAUUUAUGUAUAUGGUUAGUAAAUUAUAAGGUAUGUGUUAUUGUUGAAUUGAAUGAAAAUUGAGCUGAAUGAUUAAUAUAUAUUGAAAUUGAAUUGUAUGUGGAUUGAAAUGGAAAAGUAUAUUGAAUUGAGUUGUAAUUAAAUUGAGAAUGAAAUUGAAAUUGAAAAGUAAUAUGGAAUACCCUAUUAACUAGUCGGGCUGAAGCGGAUAUAAUUGGCAUGCCACAGGAUUUGGAAGAGUACGGGAUUUAUCGGCUUUGCCAAUUAGGCACUUUAUGUGUCGUAUUUCAGGCACCUCGUGUGUCGUUUCAGGCACUUAUGUGUCGUAUACUGAUCAGGUACUAUGUACUGUUUUAGGCAUAAUGUGCCGUACUGGUGUGUUUGGGUUGGAAUCCGUAUAUCCGUUAAAGUCCAGGUUUGUUAAUAGGGUGAACAACUGAAAUAAGAAGUUUAAAAUAAAUUGAUUGAUUAUAUUAUUGAAAAUAUUGAAAGAAAUGAGAAAGUUGAAUUAUGGAUUGAAAUUGAGUUUGAAAAUGCAAGGCAUGAACUUAAUGUUCAUGUAGUGAUUGAAAUUGUUACAUGUGAUAUGUUAUGGAAAUUGAAGAAUAGCUAAAAAUUGUAUUGUUAUUGUUAAUUAAUGAAAGUUUAAGAAUGAAUUGAUAUUUGAGAAAUUGGAUAGUUACAUGCUUCGUAAUUAUAAUUCUUAUUGCUAUUAUAAUUUGAAUUAUGGUAAUACCAUUGAGUAAGGAAUACUUAGCGUACGGUUGUUUUCAUGCGUAGGUUGAUAGGAGUCCAGUGUCCUGGUCUAGCAUCCGAACGAUCCCGACUCCAGCAUUAAGAUUUUGGUGAUGUUUUCUUCCUUUAAGUGAAAGUGGCAUGUACUUAGGGAUUAUAAUGGUUUUUUUGGUAUGUUAUAUAAAUUUUGUUGUAAAGAAAGGUAUUUGGUGUUUUGAUAAUUAAAUUAGUGAAAUGGUAAAAAUUGUUUAUGGCAUUGGUAUUGAAUUGAAAUGGUUUGAAUACUUUUAUAAGCUAAUUAGAAAUGAUAAUAGGGUUUUCAUUAAUUAAGUUGUUAAAGUCAACAUGUCAAGUAUGAUUUAAGUAUAUUUGAGUAUAUAAAUGCGUUGGUUGAAAUACUAGAAUUGGUUUCGUUGCAAUUUGAAAUUUGCAGGGAAUGUUAAAUAUUUAAAAAGGAGUUAUUUUGAAUUUAAAAAAAUAAAAAAAAGAGUCAAUUAGCAAAAGUUUUAUAUGAAUUUAUGAUUGUAUUAUAAUAUGUUCGAUAAUUAAUUGAAUAUUAAUCGUAAAUUGUCUGAUAAUACCUCGUAACCCUGUUCCGGCGACGAUUUAGGGUUAGAGGGGUAUUACAAUUUUUUCUAAUUACUUUUUUUAUUUUUAAAUUUAUUUAAAAUAAUUAAUUUCAAAAUUUUUCAUAAUGUGAUAAAAAUAUUAAUUUUAUUUAAAAAAACUAUAUAAUGAGAAAAAUAAUAUAAUGUAUCAUUUUAUUUUCUUUUUACCACUUUUUAAAUAUCAUCUUUACCUGUCACAUGAGUAUUAAAUUGGUUGGUAUUAGUAUUGUUGUCAAUGUAGGAAGACAUGAGCUCAAGUAUACUAAGAUGCAUUUUUCUUUCUAUUUAAAGGUUAAAAAAUAUUAUGAAUAAUUCUAAAUAUUAUAUCAAUAUAUAUAACCUUUCACUAAAGGAAUGAUAAUGCAUAAUUUAAAUUUUAGAUAUAUCCUUGGGUUUUGAGUAUUUGAAUCUUUGAAUUUAAAAUAAUUGAAUGAUUAUAUAUAUACUAGAAACUCUGUCACACGCGCAUACGCGUGUGAAAAUUAUGUAUUUAGAAUACAAAUUUGUAUUUAAAAAUAACAUACAAUAAAUAAUUAAAAAUAUGGUUUAAAACUAAUUAAUAAUAACACAUGAAAUAUGUUCAAUGUUAAAAUUAAAAAAAAAAGAUUAAAUUGUAAGUAAAACGAAUUUAAACAUAUAAAUACACAAUAAUGUUGUCGUGGUGUUGUUAUCAAUCCUAAGUUGGUUUCAAGUUAAUUUGUGACACAAUCUUAACAAAAAAUUAAGAUUAAAAUACAUGAAAUAGAUCAAAAUAAAGCUUUGAUUGAGUCAUCAAUUUAAGGUUUUACCAAUUCAAUUGGUACUAUACAUAUUUUUAUUUUUAUUGAUUUUUGUUAAAAUAAAAAGACUAAAGUAUACUCGGAUAAUAUAACUUAAUUUAAAUACGAAAAAAUAUUUUGAUAAUUUCCCUCAACGAGUUGGUAUCCUAUUGACUCAUAACAUCCACUCAGUCAGGAGCUUAAAUAAUAUUAUACAUGUAACUUAUAAAGAUAAUGAAUUAUAUAUAUUAAAAUAAAAUUGUAUAAAACAUAAUAAAAUGAGACUUUUUUUAAUAGUAAAUUUAAUUUUUUUCGGCAUUGGGGUGGCAAUAUACAUAUUUAUAUUUUUAUUAGUUUUUUUUAUAGAUAAUUGUGUUAGGAAGUUUACUUUCUGACAUUGGAAAACUACAACAAAUUCAUUUGGUCUAUUGUUGAAAGUGGUUGCCUCAGAAAAUAAAUAAAAAGGUAGAUGUGUUAUGUAUGUUCUCUCAUAGAGGAUGCCUUUCAUUCUUUUAACAAUGGCGGCAACUGCUUUCACAUCAUUUCAUGUUUGGUUGUUUUCUUGCCUGGCAUUGAUUUCCAUGGCAAAGGCUGAAGAAUUCAUUUACAAUAGAGGCUUCCUUCAUGCUAAUCUGCAGCUUGAUGGGAGUGCCAACAUCCACUCCAAUUGUCUAUUGCAGCUCACCAACACAUCAAAACUGCUAAUCGGCCAUGCUUUCUAUCAAUCUCCAAUAAAUUUCAACACUUGUUCAAGUUCAGCUCAAUCUCUUUCCUUCUCAACGAAUUUCGUCAUCACCAUCGUUCCUGGAUUGAAAGACUCGAGUGGCCAUGGCAUUGCCUUUGUCAUCUCACACUCUACAGAUUUCAGCCAUGCUGCUACAAUCCAAUAUCUAGGACUUGUUAAUGAAUCAACCAAUGGCCAUUCUUCAAAUAUGUUUUUUUGCUGUUGAGUUUGAUACUAUCUUGAGUCUUGACAUAGAAGAUGUAGAUAACAAUCAUGUAUGAAUCGGUCUGAGCGUCGUGAAAUUGAACCAAUCCGUUGCAUCAGCUUAUUUUUCUAAUGAAGAAAGGAAGAAUAUAAGCUUGGAGGUCAACAAUGGACAUUGAACACAGGUUUGGAUAGACUACAGUGAUGAAGAACAACUACUCACUGUAACCUUGGCACCAGAGGGAAGGCCGAAACCCAACCAGCCUCUAUUGUCCACAUAUAUCAAUCUCUCUGGUAUUCUAAUGGAUACCAUGUAUGUUGGUUUCUCUACUUCAACAGGUUCAAUUAGAAGUAAUAGCCAUUAUAUUCUGGGAUAGAGCUUCAAUACAAGUGGAGAAGCGCAAAGCCUUGUGUUAUCUAAGCUUUCAAAGGUUCUCAAAAAUGGUGGACAGGGAAAUAAUAUGGUUCAAUUGAUUUUGGAGUAAGUCUUGUUUGUUGUAAGUUAAUUGUCAAGGUUCAUGCAUUGUUGUAAUGUAAACUCAAUAAAAAGAGUUCUACAAUACAUAAGAGGAACUCUAGAUCAUGGCGUGAAGUUUAUGAGGACUGAAAAGAUCAAGUUACUUGGGCGUUUAGAUAGUGAUUAGUCUGGAUCUUCUUAAAAAAUGAAGAUUACUUCAGGCUAUAUCUUCACUUUAGGAUCGAGUGUGUUCUGUUGGAGCUCAAAGAAGCAAGAAAUAGUAGCACAAUCAACUGUUGAAGCAGAGUAUGUCGCAGCUGCAGUAGCUGUAAAUCAAGCCAUUUAGUUGAGAAAACUGCUGAGUGAUUUAAAUUUGAAGUAAGAAGAAGCAACAAAGAUCAAGUGUAAUAACCAAUCAGUUGUUGUAAUUGUAAAAAUCCAGUGUUCCAUGGUAGAACAAAACAUUUCAAAAUCAAAUAUCACUUUAUGAGAGAAAUGGAGCAAGCCAAGCAAGUUAUAUUAGUUCACUGCAGUUCACAAGACCAAUUAGCUGAUAUUCUAACAAAACCUCUUGAGAAGAUGAGGUUUGAAAAACUAUUUUAUGAUAUUAGAGUUCGAAGCAUAGAGGUCAAUGAGGAGUGUUUCGAAAGAACCAUCUAUGCUAACUACGAACUGCGAGCUCACCGAGAUUGCGAGCUCACCUGUGAACUACAAACUGUAAACUUACCAGAACUGCAAGCUUACCAAGCAUGAGAGCUCACCUGCGAGCUCUUGACUCUGUGAGUCACCAACUUAAACUGAAACUAUGAUAAGUUUUGAUUAAACAUUUUGACAGACGAUUAGAUAGAAAAUAACAAAUAAAAAAUAAAGUUAUAUGAAUCUAGUCACUGAAUUAAACUAAGUUCUAAUAUUUUAUUAUUUUUUAAACAUAUUUAAGCAUAAUUUUUCAUGUAAAUUAUGCAACAAUUUUUUAAUGAAACAGUUCACCAAAAAAUUAACUUCUCCAUUUUUUAUCUUUUGCUUUUGUUUCAACCUCACCUUCUUCAAAAAUCCAACAAUAAGAAUUUAGUGCAGCUUCAUGGGUACUGCAAAUGUCGCUAAAGAACAAAAAACAGAAUUGAUAAGCAAAGGAAAUGGUAGAGCAUAUGAAUGAAACGAAAUAAAUUUUUUUAUUAAUUUUUAAAACAAUGGCAUGAUGCCUUGUACAUAUACCAGAAUUUAACUAAAACUCACCUAAUAGCUACCUAACUCCAUUUAAUACAUUGGAACUAGGUGAAUUAUGCUUGCACACUUAAACAAAGCUAGUGAUCAGUUCUUUCACUAUCAAAUUACAUCAAAUACAAGCUAAACUAAGUUUAAAAUGAACUAGAUAGCAUUACAUUAACUAAAAUUACAAAAUGAACAAAACAAAACAGCUGCAACACUUGGCUUGACAGCUUUUUGCUUAGCAUGAGCUACUCGAUCUGCUUUCUGGUGCAUGUGCUGCAUGGAAGGCCAUUCUCCAACACUCCUCAUUGGUCUCUAUGCUGCUAACUCCUAACUACUUCCUCAAUUUGAUGAAUCUUGACACAUUAAGGGCCUUUGUGAAAAUGUCAGCAAUUUGUUCUUCAAAAUUGCAAUGAAUCAGCUCCAUCUCUCGAGCUUGCUCCAUUUCCUUUACUACAUGUUGCUUGAUGCUAAAGUGUUUAGCUCUACCAUGGAAACAGAGUUCUUUGCAAUUGCAACAGCAGAUUUGUUGUCACAAAAGAUCUUUGUUGCUUCCCUUUGAUGCAGGUUCAAGUCAGUUAAGAUUUUUUUAAGCCAUAUGGCUUGAUUAACAGCACUUGUAGUUGCAACAUACUCAGUUUUUGCUGUUGAUUGAACCACCAUCGAUUGCUUUUUUGAACUCCAACAAAACAUUGCUGAUCCAAGUGUAAAUGCAUAACCAAAAGUGCUCUUUAUAUCAUCCUUUGAACUAGCCCAAUCACUAUCAGUAUAGCCUACCAAUUUCAAGUUUUUAGUUUUGUUAAACUACAAUCCAUGGCUCAAGGUGCCUUUGAUGUACCUGAGCACUCUUUUUGCUGCUUGAAGGUGUUGAAUAUUGCAGCAGUGCAUGAAUCUUGAAAGCACACUAACAGCAAACAUAAUGUUCAGUCUUAUUGUAGUUAGAUAUAACAAGCAAUCUACUAAGCUUCUGUGGGUAGAUUCUCUGACUUGUUCAUAGUCUCAUUAGCUUGACAGUUUUAUUCCAAUAGCCACAGGUGUGCUAGUUGGCUUACAAUUCUCUAUAGAGAACUUGUUCAAGAUCUUUACAGCAAAUGUUUUCUAUCCCAAGAAAAUUUCACUUCAUGUUUGCAACACCUCCAUUCCUAGGAAUUAAGUCAUCUACCCCAAAUCAGACAUCUCAAACAUGUCCUUCACUUUGGCUUUAAAAUUAGCCAACAUAAUCUGGUCUCCUCCUAUCACUAAGAGAUCAUCUACCUAAAGGGACACAAUGAGCUGUUUUAGCUUAUUCCUUCUUGACAUAUAGUAUUGGCUCACUGAUACUUCUCUUGAAUCCCAAGCUAACAGGUAGCUAUCAGUUUUAGCAUACCAGGCUCUAGGAGCCUAUUUCAGGCCAUACAAAGCCUUUUUAAGCCUGUAUACCAUAUGUUCUUUUACAGACACAACAAAACUUUGAGGCUAGUCAAUAUAGAUUUCUUCUUCAAUGAAGCCAUUGAGAAAUGCAGACUUUACAUCUAGUUGAUGAAUGAUCCACUGCUUUUGUGUAGCCAAAGCAACUAACAAUCUGAUUGUAUCUAGCCUGGCUAUUGGUGCAAAAUUCUCCAUGUAGUCCAGGCCAUAUCUUUGAUUGAACCCCUUGACAACAAGUCUAGCUUUCAACUUGUUUAAACUACCAUCAGUAUUUUGUUUAGCUCGAUAGACCCAUUUUACACCAAUGGUCUUUCUGUUAACAGGCUUUUCAACCAGCUCCCAUGUCUGAUUCUUCUAAAUCAUCUUGAUCUCAUCAACCAUGGCUUGCUUCCACCCUUUAUGAGCUUCAGCUUAUUCAAAACUACUUGGUUCAACCUCAGCAACAUGAGCCCUUUCAUAAAUUUUAACUAAGGGUCUGGUGCCUCUGGCUGGCACAUCAUCGAUGUUCCUUUCAGGACCAAUUUGAUUAGGUGCAACCUGAUCAGCCAUCAGCUCUUCAAAAAUAGCCUCUGACUUAUUUCUUUCCCAGUUCUAGCAUGCUUUUUCAUCAAAGACAACAUAUUUGCUCAAUUGGAUUUUGUUUGUUAAAGGAUCUAAGAUCCUAUACCUUUUCUUGACCAUACUGUAGCCCACAAAAAUGCUAGGCAGAGCUUUCUUGGAUAGUUUGUCACUCUUCAUAGUUGGUAUAUGGCUGUAACAUAUGUAACCAAAGACCUUCAAAUGAGCCAAUGAUGGCUUAAACCCGAAACAGGCCUCAAAUGGUGUUUUGUGAGCCAGUGCCUUUGUUGGAAGCCUAUUCUGAAUGUACACAGCAAUGUUAACUACUUCAGCCCACAUGUUCUUGGGCAAAUUCUUCUCAAAUAGAAUACAUCUGGCCAUUCCAUCAAACUCCUGUUUGUUCUUUCACUAACCCCAUUCUGCUGAGGGGUAUAGACAUUCGUCAGCUCAUGUUUGAUGCCUGCAUCAUUGCAAAGAGCUUAAAACUGAGUUGAGGUAUACUCAGCUCCAUUGUCUGACCUGAUGGUCUUGAGUUUGCAUCCUGUUUUUGUUUCAACUACAGCUUUAAACUUCAAAAACACUUGAGCUACCUUAGACUUAUAUUUCAGGAAGAAAAUCCAGUAAUAUCUGGUACAGUCAUCAAUGAAAAGAAUGAAGUACCUAUUACCAUUGAGCGAUUCAGUCUUCAUAGGGCCACACGCAUCAGUGUGCACAAGCUGUAACUUGUCUGAUGCUCUCAAAGUUGAUUUUGCAGGAAAUGGCUGUCUAGCUCGUUUUCCUAUUUGACAAACCUCACAAACAUCCUCCUUUUCAACUGUAUUGGUGAAAUUUUCAACCAAUUCUUCACUGACCAUUUGAGCCAUCGAUCUGAAGUUGGCAUGACCACGUCUUUGGUGCCAAAGCUUGAAAUCUUCAGUAGAAGUAAUGCAGGCUGAGUGUGAAUGACUUGGCUUGUUGACUUCAAAGCAUUUAUCAGUCAAAGUGACUGACAUGAAGCUUGAUCCAUUUGGAUAAGUAAUUUGGCACUCCUUGCCCUUGAACACAACUGAAUAGCCUUUUUCAAGCAAUUGAGCAAUGCUAAGAAGGUUCCUGUCAAUCUCAGGCACCAAAAGCACAUUUGAGAUGACCUUGCCACCUGUGGGAGUGCAUAUCAACACAUCCCAUUUUCCUUCAGCAUUGAUAAACUGCCCAUUACCAACUUUCACUUUGGCUUUGCGGCUUCUGUCCAAGGUUUUGAAAAUGGUUGCAUCUGGUGACAUGUGGUUAGUGCAACCACUGUCCAAUAGCCAUCCUUUUGAGCCCUUCUUCUGACCAACUGAGCAUGACACAGUAAAGACCUGCUCCUCAUGGUCACUACUAUCUUUAGCCACUUGAGCUUCAAUAUUUUUCUGUUGUGCUUGAUUCUGCCUAGGCCUGCCUUUGUUUUUGCAAACCCUUUCAACAUGCCCCAUCUUCUUGCAAUGUUGGCACUGUGCAUCUAGUCUAAACCAGCAUCUUUUUUUUUUGGAUGACCAGGCCUUUUACUAUGCCUGCAAGGUUGGUCCCUUUUUUCAGCAUCAUACUUAGGCCUGUUUUUCCAAUUUUUUUUGCCUUCGUAGGCAGUGGUGCUUGAAGCAGGUUUGGCCUUGGCUUGAAAAGCACCUUCUUGAUGCUCCUCCAUCCUGUUAGCUCUCCUUUGCUCCUGAGCAUAGAGGGCAUUAAUAAGCUCAGCUAAAAAGAUGCUUGGUAAGUCUCUCGAAUCCUCUAAGAAUGAGAUUUUUGCCUCAUAUCUUUCAGGCAAUGUUGAGAGCACUUUCUCCGCGAUCCUUGCUUCACUGAACUGUUCUCCUAGCAACCUUAUGCUGUUCACCACAGCCAUAAUCCUAUCUAAAUACUGCUUCACUGUUUCUUCUUCCUUCAUUUUCAAAUUUUCAUAAUCUCUUCUCAAAGUCAAUAGCUGCUGUUGCCUUGUCCUCUCUGUGCCUUGGAACUCCUCUUUGAGCUUGUCUCAGGCUUGUUUUGGUGUCUCAAAAUGUAACAACCCCUACCCGUAUCUGUCGCUGGAAUAGAGUACGAGGCAUUACCGAGAAGCACGAAACACUUAUAGAUAAUUUAAAUACAUUUUCAUAACAACUUGUCUCGAUUUCAUACUAUUUCGUAUUUAAGCUUUAUUCACUAAAGUCUUUGAAAUAUCAUCUUUAUGCAAAUAACACACAUGAGGUACAUAAUUCCGUAGUUAUAAAUGAACACAUUUAUCAAACAUAUUCCAUGUUUUUAUAUAUAUAUCAUAGUCUCAAAUUUACAUGUAUCAAUUACCAUCACUUCCUCAUAUUUCAGACAAAUACGUGUAACAAUUCAUAAAUAUGCAAUUCACUAACUCUUCCUGCCAAUCACGAUUUAAAUUGCCAAAUCACUUAUUGAGCCCAAUUUCAAUGUACACUAAAAUCUAUCAUAUAAAUUUAGAUGUACGUAUUCAUCAAUAAAUUCCAUGUACAGAUAUCAUCAUCUCUUAUUUCCACAUACAUUUACUUUCCACAUUCAUGAAUUCAAAUAGCAUAUACAAGACAUACCAAUGUAUUUCAAGUACGUUUUCAUGAUAUUUCAUUUCGAACUCAGAUUAUUUCAUACUAGAAGUUUUCUUAUUAACUCAUUUGGAAUACCAAUUCAUACGGAUAAUACACUCAAGGCGUAGAAAUAUAUAAUCACAAAUGAACUCAUUCAUCAAUCGGGUUUUAUGCUCAUGUCUCAUCAACUCGUAUUUUCUUAUGUCACAUAAUUCCAUGUAAUACUUACCAAACUUUUUCAAAUUAGUGAACAUCUUACGGAAUUGGUCUGCAUCGGUAUGCACUGAAUUUCACUGACAAUCACUGAUGCCAUAGCAUAGCUAUGGUCUUUUCACUAGAAUGCCAUAGCUCAGCUAUGGUCUUACAUUUUAUAUACAUAUCACACCGAUGUCUUAUCCCAGAUAUGGUCUUACACAGAAAUCACUUGUCACUUGUAGCCGAAGCUAUCACUACUCACUGAUCAGGUAGCCGGAGCUACCAUUUUUCACUAAUCAAGUAGCCGAUGAUCAGGUAGCCGAAGCUACCACUUUUCAUUGAUCAGGUAGCCGAAGCUACCACUUUUUACUUGCCAUUUGUCCUUGAUCAGAUAAGUGUAGCUGAAGCUAUCACUUAUCACUUUCACUUAUCCUUGAUCAAAUAAGUGUAGCCGAAGCUAUCACUUAUCACUUUCAUUUGUCCUUGAUCAGAUAAGUGUAGCCGAAGCUAUCACUUAUCACUUUCACUUGUCAUUGAUCAGAUAAGUGUAGCCGAAGCUAUCACUUAUCACUUGUUGCCAUGGUCCAACCAUGGUCUUUUCCUUCAAUUUAUCUUGUCACUGAAUUGUAAUGCUCAAUUUGAUCAGUUAUUCAAUUUUCAUGUUUUUACAUUAUUCGCGAUUUUAUCAUCAAUACAUAUAAAAUAACACAUCAUGAAAUUCAUAAAAUUAACAAAUGGUCACUAAAAUUUAGUUAUACAAACUCACAAGUACGAUUUUUGUAUUAUAACGAUAUUCAUAAUUUCAUAAUAAAUAUUCCAAAUAAAACAUUAUAUCAUUUCUAAUUCAACAUUUAUCGAUUAUAAUCGGGCAUGUGAUCAAGUCAUUCAUAUAUAUAUUUACUUUUCCUCCUACUCCUCUCCAUCCACAUCCUUAGUAUAAAUAACACACUUGUAAGUAACAUCAUCUAUAAUUUUCACUAUUUACUUAUGUGAAUAUUCAAGCUGUCCAUCCGUGUCAUAGUCACUAAAUCAUUUUUAUCUUGAGCUACAGAACUCGAAAUUAAGAUCCAUAAAUUUUUCCAGAAACUAGACUCAUAUGUUUUCUUGCCAUAAAAAUUUCAUAAUUUUUGGUUGGGCCAAUUAAUACAGUUUAUUCAUUGAAGUCUCCCCUGUUCUGCUGUCUGACAGUUCAGACCCUUCUUCACUAAAAAUUAAUUAUCUUCUUGUACAGAAUUCAAAUGAUGUCCUCGUUUAUUUAUCUUGAAAAUAGACUCAUUCAGGAUUAUAAACAUAUAAAUUUAAGCCCCUAAUUGUUUUUAUCCAAUUUUUGAUGAUUUUUCAAAUUCAGAAUAGGGGAACCCAAAAUCAUCCUGACCUUGUCUCACAAAAUUUAUCAUAUCUCAUGAUUUACAAUUCCAUUGCAUACAUAAUUUCUUCUAUAAGAAACUAGACUCAAUAAGCUUUAAUUUCAUAUUUUAUUCAUCCUCUAAUUAUAUUUCUAAAAUUUUUGGUGAUUUUUAAGAGUUAGACUACUGCUACUGUCCAAAGCAGUUUUAGUGCAAAGUGUUGAUUUCCAUUUUUCCCCAAAUUUCACAAUUCAUACAAUUCAAUCCUUACUAAUUAACCCCUCAAUUAAGAUAAUUUUCUCAAUUAAUACUUUUCCUAGUCAUUAGAAGUUAUUUCAUAACUAUUGAAAUUCAGAAUUUCCACAUGAAACUUUAACUUCAAACUCUUUUACAAUUAGGUCCUAAACAUUCACUUUCUAUUCAAUUCUUUCAAUAAAAUCAGCAUAUAAACAAUUUAAAGCUCUAAUUCCAUGACAAAUCAUCAUAUAGUUCCAGCACAUAUUCAUAGCAACUUUCAAUUUCUUUCAUAGAAUUAAAAACUAAUGAAUUCAACAAGUGGACCUAGUUGUAAAAGUCACAAAACACAAAAAUUUCAAGAAAUAAUCAAGAAUUGAACUUACUUGAAGUAAAAAUAUGAAAAACCAGCUUGAAGGAACUCUUCCAUGGUGUUUUUGCUGAUGAGAAUGCAGAAAAAUAAAGAGAAAUCUAGAUAAUUCCACUUUAGUCCUAGCUUUAUUAAGUAAAUUUUGCAAUUUUCCAAUUUUUCCCUUAAUUCUCCUUAUUUUCUUGCUGAUUUCAUGCCUUGCCGUCCAGCCCAAAGAUACCUUGGGUCUAUUUUCCUUUUAAACCCUCUUUCUUUUAUCAUUUAAGCUAUUUAAUCAUUUCUCACAAUUUUGCAUUUGAUACAAUUUAGUCCUUUUUGUUCAAUUAACUAUCAGAACUUUAAAAUUUCUUGACGAAACUUUAAUACUAACUUAUUAACGCUCCAUAAAUAUUUAUAAAAAUAUUUAUGGCUCGAUUUAAAAUUCCCGAGGUCUUAAUACCUCGUUUUUCGAUUCUAAUUAUUUUAAUAUUUAUUUUUAGUACGCUAUUCACUAUUUUAAAAUUUUUUUUCCUAACUUCACAUUUAACUUAUACUCACUAAAUUAAUAAUAUUUCCUACUCAUUUGUCGGAUUUAGUGAUCUCAAAUUACUGUUCUGACACCACUGAAAAUUAGGCUGUUACACAAAAGCUAUAAUUCUUAUAAAUAUGACAUCUGACACACAGUUCUAAAUGCAGGACAUGGCUUUGUGCCUCUUGGUCCUCUCAUCAGUAUGUUGUCUGAUCUGAGCCAUUGUGGGAUUGGCCCUAAGUGGUGCUGGCUUAGCAUCGGUGUUUACAACUUCCCACAGAUCAAAGGCCUGCAGGUAAGUCCUCAAAUUAACCACCCAUAUAUGAAAGCCUUCUCUAUUGAAGACUGGUGGAGCUGCUGGAGAAAAACCUGAAGAAGCCAUUCAAGUUAUGAUUCAAAUGCAACAGGUCCACUAAGACAAUGACUCUAGAUACCAAUUGUUGGUGUUAUGAACAAGGAAGAAGCUGGUUCAGCUUAGGCUUGUUUAGCAAGUUUGGUGACAUGGUGAAGAAACAAGAACUGAAAUAUUGCUAAAGAACAACAAACAGAAUUGAAAAGUAAAGAAAAUGGUGGAGCAUAUGAAUAAAAAGAAAUGAAUUUUUUUUAUUAAUUUUUAAAACAAUGACAUGACGCCUUGUACAUAUACCAGACAUUGGCUGGUCAAAAUGAACUAAAACUCACCUAAUAGCUACCUAACUCCACUUAAUACAUUGGAACUAGGUGAAUUAUGCUUGCACACUUAAACAAAGCUGGUGAUUAGCUCUUUCACUAUCAAAUUACAUCAAAUACAAGCUAAACUAAGUUCAAAAUGAACUAGAUAGCAUUAAAAUGAACAAAACAAAAUAGCUGCAACACUUGGCUCGACAGCUUUUUGCUUGGCAUGAGCUGUUUGAUCUGCUUGCUGGUGCAUGUGUUGCAUGGAGGGUCAUUCUCUAACAAAAACUGCAGAUGUGUUUGCUUUUGGGACUUUUCUGCUAGAGGUGGCUUAUGGGAGGAAGCCAUUGGAUCCUAAUGCACCAUCCGAAGAGAUUCUUCUAGUCGAUUUAGUAAAUAGAUGCUGGAAAAGAGAUGCCAUUGUUGAUGCUAUAGAUCCAAGAUUAUAGGGGAAUUACAUGGUGGAGGAAAUGGAGAAUGUUGUGAAACUAGGUCUGCUUUGUUCCCACCCCAAACUAGAUUUGAGACCCACCAUUAAAGAAGUGCAAUAUCUUGAAGGCAAUGCUAGUUUGCCUAAUAUAACACUUGACAGUGCCCCGAAUAUUAUGCCAUCUUCUAUCCUUGAAACCUUUCAAGUACGUGAUCAGACUACUGAAAUUAGCCUAUCUGUAGCAGAUAACUCGGGCUCUGAUAGUAUAAUUUUGUUUUCUUCAUCAACUGGGAAGGGUGUUUCUCUGAAUUCCUUGUCUAGUGCAUAUACAAUUCUUCGUACAGGUCGCUGAAAGUUCCAAUGGAAAUGUUGUACAUCUGUUCUUUCUUUUUUGAAAUUCUUUCCUGAAUAUACCCAUAGUUUUUUUCCGAUGUUCUGCAAGCCAGUCGAUUUGAUCUUUUGUGGGUUAGUCUUAUAAUACCAAGUUUGUUGCUAGCCUAUAUAUGUAUUGAGCUUGCUAGAACAACUAAACCAGGCGUGUGUAUCAAUUGUAAGCACUUGAAAUGAAACUAAAUAUUUAUUUGUUUGUAAUCCAAAAGUUUGAGGCUAUAUAUCCAAAUUCUGUAACCCUUGAGUUAGCUCAACUAAAAUGAAUCGGUAAAGGUAGUUUCUACAAAGGGGAGAGUUGAUAGUAAAGGUGCGAAGGUUUUUUGGAUAAGCAAGUUCUGAGUAAAUUAGUUAGGAGUGUAGUGAGAGAGUGGAAUUGGAUUGGUUAGAAGAGAAUUUUGGAGACUUUGUGUAAGCAUUUCCUGAUUGAGUUUGAAAAGAAUGAGGGGUGAUGGUUGGCCAUGGCUGAUAUAAUGGUUCACAAAUGCUAGCCCAUGAUCGGAGGAGUUUAGUCUAAGGAUAAAUUUAAUGUUUGGGAAGGUACGCAUUUUCUAUGUUAUGAAUAGAAAUGAGUCAACAAGGCAAUAGUGAAUCAUGCAUGUGCUCUUCGUCUGGGUUAUGUGCCAGCUCAGUUGUAAACUGGAUCAGUACUUUCCCUAUUAAAAUGGCUUUCAAUCUUCAUACCUUCUCUGCUCAGUGUCUACAUGUUUUCCAUAUAAAAAGGGAAUGCGUGUGUGAGCCGAUCAACAAGACAUUUGAAGAGUGGAAUAGUCAAGGUUUCACACCUGAUAAUUUCAGAGAAAAUAAAUCUGAAUGAAGUUAAUCCUCAUUAUGCAUUUAUACUAAUUCGCAAAAUGGAUCAUAGUGCAAAAUAGUUUAUCCGUUAAUGUUGUGCCAUUAAAACUUUAUUUUAGUCUUUCAUAUACAAAACAUACCCAAUAAAUUUAAUUUUUUAUCUUUUGGUCAAAUUAGCACAAUAUUAAAUUAUUAAAUAAUUUUUUUUUAAAAAAUAUGAUUCCAAAAAUUAUGGAAAGAAACUCUUAAAAAAUAAAAUUUUAAAAUAUUAUUAGAGUUUAUUAAUUUUAUAAUUUAUUAUAUUUUUAUAAUUUUAAUAAUUUUAUAUAAAUUUUAACAUUUUUAUUAUAUUUUUCUGUUUUUCUAAUUAUGCUUAUGGAAAAAGUAUUAUAUUACACUAGAAGUUGCAACAUGUUAUCAUUUAAUUGGUCCAUCAAUUUAUUUAAUAGACAUCAUGGUCAAUAACGAAAAUUAUUAACAAAAAAAUUUUAAUUGAUUAUUUUAAUUAACUAUAAAAACUUAAUUAAUUAUUUUAAUUAAUAACAAUGAAUUAAUUAGACGUGAAUUUAAUACAUAAAAUGUUAAUUGUUAAAAUAACCAUAAUAAACCGGGUGGUUUUUUUACAAUUAAAAGACUUCUGACUAUUUUAAUGCAUUUCAAUGGGUUUAUAACUACGGUUCAAAUCAUUAAAAAAAAAACGGCUCUAAUCAACCAAAAAUAAAAAUAUAUUCACUCUCUCACAUUAAAUGUCAGUUAAAUAUCUUCUUGUUUUCCUACAAAACUCUUUGUACAAUUUUAGUAAAAUCAAACAAGUAUGUUAUUGAUUAAUUUAAUGUUAAAGGCUAAUUUUGGGCCAUCCCUAAAUUACUCAGCCCAAUACAUUAAAUCCCAACAAUUUUGAACCCAAACUAAACCUACCCAUUACAUCAAACCCCAAGACCCAAACAUCUAACCCAAACCCGGUUGGCCCACUAAAACCUAAACCAACCACUAACCAAACCUUAACCCAUCAGACCCACAACAACCCAAUGACUAAACCUAACCCACUUACAACCAAUUACCCAAACCCAAUACAAAACCCUUAGCCCAACUAAACAUUAAGCCCAAUACCACAAAUCAAAAAUAAAAAAUACCUAAACCCUAACCCUAGCUUGUGACGCCGAAUCCUUUGUCAUUCGGCCACCCACCGUUCACCCACUCUCUGCUCCACCACCCCAAUACCUGCAAGAAGAGACAGAAACAAUAAAAAAAUGAUUGAAAGAGGGUUAUAAAACCCGAAUCAGAAUUGUAAAAAAAGGGGGGGAGAAUAUGGUUUAAUACAACAAACGAAUGUAACGAGGGCAUUUUUUUCUUUCUUUCCGAAUAUUCAAAAGAAAGAACAAAAACAAUACAAGCACAAACAGAUCGGAAAUAUAUAAGGGGAAAUACAAAAAAUAAGUCGAUCCAGUAACCAAAUACCAACAUCAAAACCUUAAGGUGAAUAUUUUUUAUUUUUAUCUCUGUUUUUACUUUUGAAUUUAUUCCCUGUACAUUUAUAAAUACAAAAAUAUAAAUAAACAUAACAAUUUUAAAAACAUAAAUAAAAAGCAAAAAAAAUAAAAAAAAUUAGAAAUGUACCUUCUCCGGCCACCGUGCGCGGUGGCCCGCGUCGGCGACAGACGGCGGCUGACUAUCGGUCGGUGACCGGCCCCCAGGCCGAGAACCCCUUCCCCCUCCCUUCUCUCUUCUUUCUCUCUCUUUUUUUUUCCCUUUCCCCUCUCAAAUGAUUUUUUUCAAAUUUUUUUUAUCUUUUAUAGGGGACCAAAACGUACCGUUUUGGUCCCCCCGGUUAAAACAAAAACAACGUCGUUUUGGCCCUGGGUCGGGUCGACCCGACCCGCUCCAAACAGGAUCCGCGUGUUUUUUAAAGCGGAAGGGCUAAUUGCGCUUUUAGCCCUUCCGCUUUUCUGGGAUUUUACAAUCAAGUUUUUUCAUUUUCAAUUUGGCCCCAUAAUUUUCAGCGCUUUUCAAUUUGGUCCCCCGUGCUGCGCUGUGUUUUGACCAAGGGGUUUAUUGUGCUUUUAGCCCCUCCAAGUUAGGCGCGUUUUAUAAUUUCGUCCUCUUCUUUUUAUUUUUAUUUCAAAUCGGCCCCAAUAACUAGUUUUUCAAUUCAAUUUCGUCCUUUUUUUACUUUUUCCGUUAUUCUAUUUUAAUUUUAUUAUUAUUAUUAUCAUCAUUAUUAUUUAUUAGUGUAUAGUUUAUGUAUAUAUGUAUAUAUGUAGUAAUGUUCUAUUAUUUUAUUUUUAUAAUUUCAUUAUUAUAGCAACUUUUUGUAUCUCAAUAUUACUAUCUAUAUUAUUAUUAUUUUACCACAUUAUUAUAUUAUUGCUGUUAUUAAUAUACUAUUAUUAUAUUUAUUAAUAAUAUUAUUAGUACUAAUAUAUAUUUUCGCUUAAUGUUUAUGUAUGUGUCUACGUGUAUGUAUUUAUGUAUUGUACUAAUAGUUUUCUUUUUUCAUAUUAUUAUCUCUAAUAUAUGUAUAUAUUGUAUAUGUUUAUAUUAUAUAUAUAUUAUUUCUUUACUAUUCCAUGUAUAUAUUUUUAUACCAUAUCGUGUAUAUAUCCUCAUCACUCCUAUCAUCAUUAUUAAUAUUAAUCGUGUAUAUAUACCUUCGUCUUUUCUUUAUAAACUCGAGCAUUUUCAUAUGCAUCGUUUCUAAUUUCCUCGAGUUCCUGGAUGUCUAACUUCCGAGACUUCCCUGCAGACUCCAUUUCCAUAUUACACUGCUUAACUGCCCAAAAAGCCUUGUGCUCUAACUCGACCGGAAGAUGGCACGGUUUACCGAAAACGAGUCGGUAAGGUGACAUGCCUAUUGGUCUCUUGUAAGCUGUCCUAUAGGCCCCAAGUGAGUCAUUCAGUCUCAAACUCCAACCCUUCCUCUUAGGUUUAACCGUCUUUUCCAGAAUAGACUUGAUCUCUCGAUUUGACACUUCGGCUUGCUCGUUUGUUUGUUGAUGGUAAGCAGUGGCAAUUCGUUGAGUCACUCCAUAUUUCUCCAUUAAUGCACUUAUGAGUUUAUUGCAAAAAUGUGUUCCUCUGUCACUGAUUAAUGCUCGGGGAGUGCCAUACCUGGAAAAAAUAGAACUUUUAAGAAAGUCAACUACGGUCUUAGCAUUAUCAUUGCGAGUGGCCUUUGCUUCUAUCCACUUAGAGACAUAAUCAACAGCUAAGAGUAUAUAAAAAUUACCGAAAGAAGAAACGAAGGGACCCAUAAAGUCGAUGCCCCAUAUAUCAAAAAUUUCACAAAUAUGAAUAGGAAUAAGAGGCAUCUCAUUUCGACGACUAAGGUUGCCAACUCUUUGGCAUUUUUCACAAGCUUUGCAGAAAUAAAAGGCAUCACGAAAUAUGUUGGGCCAAAAUAAUCCACAUUCGAGAAUUUUGUGUGCAAUGCGUUUAGGUCCAAAGUGCCCUCCGCAUGCAUAAGAAUGACAAAAAGUUAAGAUAGAUUGUACCUUUGUUUCUGCUACACAACGUCAUAUUACCUGAUCCGAGCAAUGCUUCCAAAGGUAAGGAUCAUCCUAAAUGUAAUAUCGUGCAUCCUUUCUUAUCUUAUCUUUUUUAGACCUUGGCAAAUAUGAAGGAAUAGUACCUGUGACAAGGUAAUUUAUUAUGUCUGCAUACCAAGGAUGCUCUGCAUUUGCUGAAAACAGGUUUUCAUCUGGAAAGUUGUCAUUCAAUGGUGUGUCGUCUACUGGAAUCGGUAAUCGACUCAGAUGGUCAGCUACUAGGUUUUCGCUUCCCUUCUUAUCCCGAAUUUCAAAAUCAAACUCUUGUAGGAGUAGAAUCCACCUGAUUAGUUGGGGUUUUGCCUCCUUCUUCCCUAUUAAAUAUUUCAAAGCUGCAUGAUCAGAAAAGAUAAUUACCUUAGUUCCCAAUAGGUAAGAUCUAAAUUUAUCUAAAGCAAACACAACAGCUAAUAAUUCUUUCUUGGUCGUUGUGUAAUUGCUUUGGGCAGCAUCCAAAAUCUUCGAAGCAUAGUAGAUAACAUGAGGCUCUUUCUCUAUUCUUUGGCCAAGAACAGCUCCCACACUUUGGUCGCUCGCAUCACACAUGAUUUUGAACUGGAAGUUCCAAUUUGGUGGCUGUACUAUGGGAGCGGAGACCCAUUUCUGCUUCAGCACAUCAAAUGCGUCUUUACAAGUCUGGUCAAAUUCAAAUUCUUUAUCCUUUUGUAACAGACUACAAAGUGGUCACGCGAUUUUCGAGAAAUCUUUCAUGAAUCGUCUGUAGAAUCCUGCAUGGCCAAGAAACAAACGAACUUCCCUCACUGAUGAAGGGUAAGGUAACGAGUUAAUAAUGUCCGUUUUUGCCUUAUCGACCUCGAUUCCUUUCGAGGAAACUAUAUGACCCAAAAUUAAUCCUUUGUCAACCAUGAAAUGACAUUUCUCAUAAUUUAAAACAAGAUUAAAUUCUAUGCAUCUUUGUAAUAUCUUAGCAAGAUUAUUGAGACAUUCGUUAAAAGAGUUACCGUAUACCGUGAAGUCAUCCAUAAAGACUUCGAUGAUUUUCUCGACGUAAUCAGAGAAUAUGCUCACCAUGCAUCUUUGGAAGGUGGCCGGAGCAUUGCAGAGUCCAAAUGGCAUCCGUCUAUACGCAAAUGUUCCGAAGGGACACGUGAAAGUUGUUUUUUCUUGAUCCUUCGGAGCCACUGGAAUCUGGAAAAAUCCUGAGUACCCAUCGAGACAACAAUAAUGGGACUUACCGGCUAAUCGUUCGAGCAUUUGAUCGAUGAAGGGGAGUGGAAAAUGGUCUUUUCGGGUAGCUGCAUUCAACUUCCUGUAAUCGAUGCAAACCCUCCAUCCAUUCUGUACCCGUGUAGGGACCAGCUCACCUAAUUGGUUUUUCACCACUGUCACACCAGUUUUCUUGAGCACGACAUGAACCGGGCUAACCCAAUUACUGUCAGAAAUCGAAUAUAUCAUUCUAGCAUCUAACAGUUUUUGGAUCCCUUUCUUUACUACCUCUAUCAUGGGUGGAUUAAGGCGUCGUUGAGCAUCCCUCUUUGGUUUCGUGUUGUCUUCAAUGGAAAUUUUGUGCAUACAGGUGGAUGGACUUAGCCCUUUUAUGUCGGCUAUCGUCCAACCAAUAGCUUUCUUAUAAUCUCUCAGAACUCGAACUAGACUUUCCUCCUCGUCUUUGGUUAACUUGUUUGACAUUAUUACCGGUAAGGUGUCUUUCUCUCCCAAAAAGACGUACUUAAGAUGGUCCGGUAAUGCUUUAAGCUCCAAGAUCGGUGGCUGUAAAACUGAGGGUAACAUUUUAGUUUGGGAAGGUAAUAGUUCAAAUUGGUUACCUCGGUUUGUGAACGAAGGUUGCAUAUCCAAAUGAUUGACGAUUUCUUACAACGGAUCUUCAAUGACUGCGAAUUCCUCGAGAUGAUGUAAAACUUCCAUGUCAAUGUUUCUGAAAAGGAUAGUUUCCAACUCAUCAAAGUCAUGAUAUUCAGAAUAAGACUGAGUUAAACAAUCUAAAAUAUCAAUUCUAGAAAUAUUCAAUAGUGAGUUAGGAUGACUCAUAGCCUCGUAGACAUUGAAUUUCAGAAUUUUGCCAUCAAACUCCAUGGUCAGCGUCCCACUUUGAACAUCUAUUUUUGCGCUUGCGGUACUUAGAAACGACCUUCCAAGCAAAAUGUCAGAUGAAUUAGUUGAAUUAUCAUCUUCCAUACUAAUAAUGUAAAAAUCUGCAGGGAAAACUAAUUCAUUAACUUUAACAAGGACGUCUUCAAGUAGCCCUUCGGGAUAGACGACUGACCUGUCCGCCAACUGGAUUAUUACUCCUGUCUCUUUUAAAGGACCCGCGUUAAUCAACUUAUAAAUAGAAUAAGGCAUAACAUUAAUAGAAGCCCCUAAAUCACACAUGGCUUUCUUAAUGCCUACAUUACCUAUCUCACAGGAAAUAGCAAACAUACCUUGGUCCUUGUAUUUGGGCUGAACUUUCUUUUGCAAUACUGCGGAGACAUUUUUUCCUACAUUUACUCUUUCAUUGCCUAUUAACCUCAUUUUGCUAGUACACAAUUCCUUGAGGAAUUUUGCAUAACGGGGGAUCUGUUUGAUAGCGUCGAGUAAAGGAAUAUUUACCUCCACCUUCCUGAAUGUCUUGAAGGUUUCUUUUUCCUCCUUCUCUUUCUUAUCCCUUGCAAGCCUCCCUAGAAAAGGAGGUGGCAUCACAACUGGUUUCUGAACUUCUGACUCUGGCCUGGUUGUUGGAUCGGAGAUCUGCUUUUCCUGUUCCUUUUCUUGCCCAUGACUUUUAGUUGGUACUGUUUCCAGAACCUUUCCGCUAUGAAGAGUGAUUGCACUGGCAUUCUGCCGAGGGUUCGGCUCUGUCUGGGAAGGUAAUUUACCAUGAGACUCCAAGUGAUUAACUGCCAUUGAGAGUUUACUAACUUGAUUAGUUAACUCUUGUAUUGAUGCGUCUGUCCUCUGUUGAUAUUUUACAGCAUUGGCGGCAAGUCUUUCCAUAACAGCUUCUAGAGAUGUGUUCGGCUUGUGUUGUUGUUGUGGUUGCAGAGGUCUCGGUUGGUAUGGUGGAUUAUAUUGGGGAUUAGCUCCGUAAUUCAGGUUGGGAUGAUCCUUCCACCCGGGAUUGUAGGUGUUGGAGAAAGGAUCAUAACGUCUUUGCGGAGGUCCUGGAAAACCUCCGAUAGCGUCAACAUGUACCGUUGAAUUGUCGUUAAGGAUUGGGCACAAAUUCAUCGGGUGUUCAGACGUAGUACAAAUUCCACAUAGUGGGGUCAAAUUCUUCUUUUCUGUAAGCAAAGAUUGAACAACAUUCGUAAGCUUAUCCAAUUUAUCUUCUAAAGUUGAAACGUUUACCCCAUUAACCCGUCUUGUUGGUUCCAAAUUUGGCCGAUAUUGUUGAGAAUUUGCCGCCAUGGUGGAUAUUAGCUCUCUUGCCCUUUAAGGGGUCAUAUUGACAAGCGCUCCUCCGCUAGCAGCGUCGAUCAUCUUCAUUUCCAUAGGGAGCAAACCCUCGUAGAAAUAUUGAAGAAGUGAUUGUUCGGUUAACCCAUGUUGAGGACAACUCGCACACAGUUUUUUGUACCGCUCCCAGUAGUCGUAGAGCGAUUCACUCUCCAAUUGGUGAAUUCCCACUAUGUCCCUCCUAAGCUCCGUUGCUCGUGACGCUGGGAAGAACCUGUCAAGAAAUACAUGAGAUAAGUCAUCCCACGUUGUGAUAGAACCGGGAGGUAAGUAAAAUAACCAUUCUUUUGCUGUAUCAACUAAAGAAAAAGGAAAGCCCGAAGUUUGAUCUCAUCUUCGGGUACUCCCUGGGUUUCAUGCUUGAGCAGACCAUGUGGAAUUCUCUCAAGUGAGUGUGUGGAUUUUCAUUCUUCAGGCCUCGAAAAGUGGGCAAAAGGUGAAUCAAGCCCGAAUUCAAUUUGAAAGGGGUUCUUCCGGUUGGAUAGUUGAUGCAUAACGAUGUUUGCUCGUUGGAAGCAGCGGCUAGUUGACGAAUGGUUCGGUUGGCCAUCCUUUCUAGUUCACCGAGGUUGCCUUUUGUUUCAAAGAGUGGUUCGAUCUCAGGUUCAACCUCUUCGACUCGUUUCCCACGUCGAAUUGCCUCUGCGCGAAUUACUUCACUCAAUUUUUCAACGUCGGACUCUAGGAUCCCCUGUCCUAGCUCAAUUCCUGAUUUACUUGCACGUUUAAGAGCUUCUGUCUCUUUUCGUCGAGCUUGUGCUGAUUUCUCGAUCUCUGGGUCGUAUUCGAGAUCUCCUGAUGAAGAUUUGGUCAUAAAGACGAUUUAAACAAUUGUAAGUGUUGCCAGUCCCCGGAAAUGGCGCCAAAACUGAUGGUUGUCGAUUCCACCAAUAUAAACCUACACCUAGUUUGCAAAUUAAAGCAGUAUAGGGAGUAGGGUCGAUCCCACAGAGACUGGAAUUACUUAAAAUUGUUUAUUUCUUGACCAGAUUAGUGUCUGGGCAGUUGUCGUGCCCGCGACGUUUAGGGGGGGAAAUAAAAUAUGAAACCUGAAAUAAACACAAGAAAACGUAAAAAGUAAAAAGUAAAAGAUGAAAUAAAAAUAAAAAGAUGAAAUAAAAAUAAAUAACAAAAUGAUUUAAAGGAAAAUCAAUAAAACUUAGCUCAGCCUUAAGCACGGGUUUUCCUGUCUUUGACCCGUUUCUCGAAAUUAGGUGAACUCCUCUUUUUCGAUAAGCUAGUUAUAGCUACCAAGGACGCCUCGGACACCAACUUUUCCUUGUGUAAAUUAGUUAUGGAACGUCCUAUAACUAACCCUUACCGAUCGAACAACCUACGAAACGUUCGUGAUUUAGAACUCCGGUAGCUUUGCGUUCUAGAAGAGCCUAGCUCGAACCAAUGCCCUCAAACGUUGAGACAUUUAAAUCCGGCUACUACUUCCCUUGACGGAACCAAACAGCAAUCCCCACUUGGCACGCCAAUGUGUUCACGGAAGACCAAUUAGACAAUCGAUCCUUUCGGAAUUCCAACUGUACGUCUAGCCACACUAACUCAAACGACGUCUUUUUUUGACUUAGUAUUGACUUGACUUUGUGAGUUGACGAAGUCAUACUCUUAAUCCGGAGAAAUAGUAAAUAUCGAAAGUUGGGAGUUAAACAGCUCGGGUUCGUAACUCAUGGGUAUUUUGACGGGGUUAACACCGGCUUAAAGCUGAAAGAGGUUUAGUGUGGCAUGAAUUUAAUCAUGCUUGAAGGUUAUAGAAAUGAUAGAAAUUAUAUGAAAAAGGUAGUGGAAAUGGAUAAGAAAAAUUGCAAAGAGAUUUAGACAAAUUUUGUAAAAAGAAGACAAAAUAAUCUAAUGCUCAAUUGAAUUAUGAAAAAGAAAACAAAGUGGAUAAUGGAAUUCCAAAAUGAAAUAGGAAUGUAAAGACAAUUGAUUAAUGAAUGAUUUCCUAAGAACUAAAACCCCCUAUUUAUAUAGAUAGGGUUUACUAAAAAUAGCUUAAGAAAAUUAAUAUAAAAUCUAAAAUAAUAAUAAUUAAAAAUAAAUAAAAUUAAAAUAAACUUAAAAUAGAAUUUCCUAUUUUUGGCUUUUUACAAAGUCAAAUUUAUGACUAGUCCUUGGCUUGCUCCAUCUUUUCGCUUUGGCCCAUUCUAAUAAUUUUCUUCUAAUUUGGCCCCUUUUCAGCUUGCUUUUGAUCAAUUGCAUCCCUGACAAGAAUUAAAUCAUAAAAACACUUAAUUAGCAGGAUUCAGUUCAUCAAUAAACCAAAUUAGGCAUAAAAAAUAUGCAAUUUGACAUGUUUAUCAUGUUAUUAUACUCAUUAAUUUACUUAUUAUUUUCCAUAUUGUCACUCAUGAUAUUAAUAUUAUUAUAUGUUAUUUGGUGUACAUAUAUCUUUUUAUUGUUACUAUUUUUACCAUUAUUAUUAGUACAGGUCUGUUAUAUAUGUAUAUUGUAUAUGUUCAUUUUAAAUAUGUUAUGUGUAUAUAUAUAUAUUAUGUACCCAUAUUAGUAUUAUUAUGUAAACCCUUUUCAUUCCUAUUUUACGUACACAUUCUUAAUGUCAUUAUUACGUAUAUACAUUCAUUGUUUCCAUCUCAUAUUCAAUUCUAGUAUUACAUUAUAUCUUUAUUGUUUAUAAUAUUAUUGUCACACUUAUAUUUGUUUCAAUGUACUUCUAGAUUUGUUGUUUAUUUAUUUUUAUUUCAAUCAAUUCGCUUUACGUUCAAACGAAAAUCUUUUUAUAAUUAAUUUCAAUAAUCAAGGCAAUGCACCGAUUUCACAAUAAGUCAUCAAAUUUCAUCGCUAUGUUGGAUGGAAUUUGACGGCUCGUGUUAAAACGGUAUAUCCUUCUCAAAAACCAAAAAAACUAAAAUUUCUCCUCUUUUCAAUUGAAUUACGACUAAAUGUUACAUUGAACUUGCAUUUUUUAAAAUCAAGACAACACUUGUUUAUAAGAUACCAAUUUUGGGCGUCGCGAGGGUGCUAAUACCUUCUUCGCGUGUAACCGACUCCCGAACCCUACUUUUUCUCUGAAUUUUGACGUAGACCUAAACUCGGCCUUCUUUUUGUUUUAAAAAUAAAUUUAUUAGGUGUCCGAUCACACCUAUAAAAAGGAUCGGUGGCGACUCCCUUUUUUUGUAAAAUCAAACUUCAGUUUUCAAAUUUUCAAUAGAUCGCCACAAUUAGUGACCAAGCAAAACCAAAAUUUUUACGUCGCUACAGCUGGCGACUCCGCUGGGGACCUUUUUUUGA
rnacentral:lncRNA from 1 species